rnacentral:lncRNA from 1 species
UUUUUUUUAAGUUUUCCGAAUUAUAUGGAAGUUUCUGAAUUUAUUGAAGUUUUCUGAAUGGAGAAGAGUGGAGAGGAGAGGACAAGAGUGGAGAGGAGAGUGGAGAGGAAAGGAGAGGACAGGAGCAUGCUCUACAACUACUCCAUGAGCAACACUAGAUUAGUUGCUUAGUAUAUUUUCAAUUAACAGUAAGCAAGCAACUCCAGCAAGCAAUAUUCUACUCCAGGUACCAAAUGAAAAAUUUCUACACAAUCAUGCUCACUAAAUAUUCUUCUCUAGCAAGCAAUAUUCUAGUAUUGCUUACUCUAUUUUCAAUUAACAGUAAUCAAGCAAAUAAACAGUGAACCAUCAGUAGAUUCAUUCCAAAACUUUCAUGAGUACUCCUUGUUCGAAAGCUUGCUGGUGAAUUAACAGUAAAUAGUGAACCACCCGUAGGAGUAACUAGUGAAGGUUGCUGGAGUAUUUUGAAUCUCUGGUGAAUACUCUUGCAAAAAUUGACUCAGGAGCAAAGACUAAACACAAAAUAUGAAGUGACAUCAUCAGUAGUGCUCUGGUUGCUCUGUAUACAUCUACUACUCCCUCCAUGUUCCUAAUUUUUGUUCAGAACAUCAUUUAAUUUCUGUAAAUAAUCAUCACUCUACAGUGCAUGGAGAUCCUAUCCCAAGUCUGUCUUAACAAAAAAGUGCAGAAUUGAAAUAAUCAUCAGAGCACACAAUCUGAAGCAGAGAACACAAGCAGAGCAUGAACAAGUUUUUCUUAGCAUCUCUGAAGCAAAGCACAGAAUCAGAGCACACAAGGGGACGAAGAUGAAGUCUGACCUGAUCUGCACAGAUGACGAUGAAGUUGAAGUCGCCCGGCAGCUCGAACUCCCCCUCGUCCGCCAGAGCAGCAACCGCAUUUGCAGGACCUCCACGUCGUGUAGACCCGGCAGCAGCAGCCGCAUCUCCAGUACCGGUGCUCCUCCUUGCAGGUCGAGGAAGACGAGGAGCGCCAGCGUUCGUCGCCGCCGUUGUCGAGCCGGAGAACGCUGCCACCGUCGUCGAGCAGGACAAGGCUGUCUGCUCCGCACUACUGCUGCUCUUCCUGGACUUCAGUAAAAAAAGCCAGCUUUGGCUUGAGCAGGAGAAGGUGGCGCACGCGACGCUGGCGAGAGGGAGAGGCGGCGCGGGCGAAAGGGAGGCGGCGACGGCGGCGCGGGCGAGCGGCGUGGGCGAGAGGAAGAGCGGCGCGGGCCAGAGGAAGAGCGGCGCGGGCGAGCUAGGGAUUUCAGAGUGAGUGAGGAGAGGAGGGGAAUCGCGAGUGAGUGAGGCGAGGGAGGGGCAAAAUGGGAAACGACAAGAUUUUCGUAGCGUUACGAAAUUUGAACUACAAUUCCUAAACGCUCUUAUAAAAGUUUACAGAGGGAGUACUACUUAAUGCAUAGCCACAGGAUGAUGCCUCAUAUGCCAUGUAGGAUCGGGCGACAGAAAAAAUAGGUUCGGAUAGGAAAGCGGGAUCCUCUGCAGGAGGCGGGUGCUUGGAGAAAAAAAGUGUGGUCCGGUGCAUAAAGUUGAAAAGGUUGAAGUAAAGAGUAGAAAUGCAUGUGUAGUGAAAGUCACUUUUUAUUCUUUGAUGAGGCAAACUAGUAGUAGCUUGCAAUGGAAAGAACAAAUCAGCAUAGAUACUUUAAAUUAUUUUUUGUCAUGAGGCAUCUAUAUCCAUAUGCCACAAUUGAAUAUGGCAAAUCAUAUAAUAGAGUUUGCUUGGCUUUCACUCGUUUCGGCAAAGUUUAAUCUUUGUUCAUUUUUGGCUUUCUCUCCGCAAUGCCAUGCACGGUUAGAGCCAUGCAUGAUGAUGAUGAUGUCUUGUGGCCGAAUAAACAAAUUGAUUUUGUUAGUGUUAGAAGUAGAGAUGGCAAAUUAUAUGUACAUUAUGAAAGAAUUUGGUUGCAUGUGAAAUUUGUUCCAUUUUCCUUUCCUUUUCACACGAUGAAACAGGCACGCGCAACGACUUGACGGUAGUUUCGCAAAUUCUGAAUUCAGAAUGGUACAAUCAGUAGCUCUGAAUCUGAAGAAAGCUGGUUCAGAUUUCUUCAUGCCAUCGGGUUGCAUCCUACUACUACUUAAUGCAUAGCCAUAGGAUGAUGCCUCAUAUGCCAUGUAGGAUCGGACGACAGAAAAAAUAGAUCCGGAUAGGGAAGCGGGAUCCUCUACAGGAGGCGGAUGCUUGGAGAGAAAAAGUGUGGUCCGAUGCAUAAAGUUGGAAAAGUUGAAGUAAAGAGUAGAAAUGCAUGUGUAGUGAAAGUCACUUUCUAUUCUUUGAUGAGGCAAACUAGUAGUAGCUUGCAAUGAAAAGAACAAAUCAGCAUAGAUACUUCAAAUUACUUUUUGUCAUGGGGCAUCUAUAUCCAUAUGCAACCAUUGAAUAUGGCAAAUCAUAUAGUAGAGUUUGGUUGGCUUUCACUCGUUUCGGCAAAGUUUAAUCUUUGCUCAUCUUUGGCUUUCUCUCCGCAAUGCCAUGCACGGUUAGAGCCAUGCAUGAUGAUGAAGAUGUCUUGUGGCCGAAUAAACAAAUUGAUUUUGCUAGUGUUGAAAGUAGAGAUGGCAAAUUAUAUGUACAUUAUGAAAGAAUUUGGUUACUUGUGAAAUUUAUUCCGUUUUCCUUUCCUUUUCACACGACGAAACAGGCACGCGCGACGACUUGGCGGUAGUUUCGCAAAAUCUGAAUUCAGUAUGCUACAAUACAAUCAGUAGCUCUGAAUCUGAAGAAAGUUGGUUCAGAUUUCUCCAUGCCAUCGGGUUGCAUCUGGAGUAAAAAAAAUGACCAUGUUCAAACUUGCUCAAUUUCACCUGAUAUUUUAGAUGGAGAUAUAACGACCCAAGUUGUUGUUACAGAGCGUUUCAUCAUCACAGGAUCUUUUGGUGGGGUGACCAAGGCUCGAACUCUCGACCUCAGGAUCACUCGCUGUUAGCUAUGAGACCUACGCGCUAGCCAACUGCGCCACCACCCCUUUGUUGGAUUAAAGGAGAAAAAAUGUUUCUUCGUAACAAUUCUGUUGGUUCAAACUAAGCAAAGAUCAACACUUUCCAAAUCAGCUGGAGCGAAUCAACCUGUGGUUGAGUUGGUUAGGUGGACAGUGGUAUCCCCAACCCACCAGGGUUCAAAUCCUGGUGCUCGCAUUAUUCCUGGAUUUAUUUCAGGAUUUCCGGCGAUACGUUUUCAGUGGGAGGAGACGUUCCCGUCGAUGACGAGGCGCCUACGGUGACUUCGUAAAUCUCAAGAUGAUAUGCCGGCUCAGUCUCUCGGAGGUGCUCAUAGGGGUAGGGUGUGCGUGUGUGCGUUCAUAGAGGUGAGUGUAUGCGCGUGUAUAUGAGCGUUUGUGUCUAUACUGAUGCUCAAAAAGAAAUCUAGAGUUGAAGAAAUGAAGAAAGGAACUGCACACAGUAUGUUGCAUCAGAAAGUCCACAACUCAUACAAUAUGCUAACUGAAGAUAACUUGAGCAUUGGGUCAUUCAUGCCACCGCAUCGAUCACAACAGAUUCUACCACCAAAAGGAAAUAAUCCAAGUCGCAACUUAAUAUCUUAAUAACCAAUUUGGUACUGUGCUGAGCGACCGCGGCUCGUCUUUGCGCUGAUACAGACACAACUAACUGUGCCCUUACUUACGCAGUAGCUAUGUCCGGCCAAACCUUCCAUAAACAAGAACAGAAAUUGGCACUUGUAAUCUAGAACCAAUGGUGUGCUCACAAAAUAUAGUAGUAGCCGCCCUAGCCAGCGACUUGGAAUCAAUCAUCAAUGGUGGCUGCAGCAGAACCCUUCACGUCGAACGGAGAUUAUGUUUACUUUUGUAAAAAAAAAAGCAUAGGAUGAGCACAUGGAUCAGUUGCAAAUUCAACCAAGAUGGGGAAAACAUAACACUAAACAUCAAAUGAGCUCCAAAAGGAGCAAGAGUUCUAGUGGUUUAGUUUAUACUAGUGAGCAACUCUGCAUCAACCAGAGGCAUCAGAAUGUUCACAACUCAUACAAAAUGCUAACUGAAGAUCAACUGAGCAUUGAGUCAUUGAUUCUAAAACUAAUUGUGUUGAGCGACUGUGGUUCCUCUUUGCGCUGGCAUAGAACUAAUUGUGCGCUUACUUACGCAUCUGUUAUAUACGGCGAAAUCCUCUGCAAAGAAGUGGCACUUGCACCGCCAAUUCUUCUGUAAAGGAGAACAUAAAUUUGCAUUUGCAGCAUAAACUAGUAGGUAGACCAAGGAGGCACCACUUUUUGGAUAAAUGAUGGAUUUUAUCAACUCAAAAUAAAGAAUUAACGGGAUACAAACACAAUGAGCACAUACCCAAUUACGAUGGCAAAGAGCAAAGUUAUAUCUUGAGCAAAUAAAAUCCACCCUUUGUCAAAAAAAAUAAUAUCUUGAGCAACAACCUGUCUACACAGCGCGUUGCUCCUCUUUAUAGGAAACCGAGAAUAGCAUUUGUCAGUCGAUCCAUGGAAUGGAGAGGGGUAGAUAGUUCUAACAGCCAAGGGGUUUAGUUGACUCCAUCCUUGACACGGAAGCGGAGCAGAGCAUCUGAGUUUUCAUAUGUACGCUCAUCUCUGAGAAAAGAAAAUCUUCUUUGAGAAUCAAUGGCUUGUGCAUCAGACUAGAAUCAAUGGCGUGUGGGGCAACAGAAGUUUGGUUCAAUGUUGGAAGUAAAGAGCAAUGUAGAUGACAAGUUAUAUGUGGAAGAAUUUGGUUGAUUUCCACUCGGUUCAGUGAAACGUACUCUGUAUUCUUGUAGUUAUCUGGUGAACCAGCUUCGAGCUACAGCAGUAAAUAAAAAAUUAAACAAGAUGGACCUGGUUCACCUGAUAAUUCAGGUGGUGAUGUGACGACCCAAGUUGUCACUGAGCGUUUCAUCGUGACAUGGUCAUUUUAAAUUGGGGUGAGAGAGGCUCGAACCCUCGACCUCAAGAUGGCAACGGGACAAAACCCACCAGCUUUUGCUUGCCCAAACUCAUCCCCACGAGAAAAUCACAAACCCGUCCCCGUCCCCAUCAACGUGCGCGGGGUUACAUUUUUGCCCGUCCCCUAAACCCAUCAGGUUUUCAAAACCCACGGGGAACCCGUCCCCACGAGCAGUCAAAGAAAACAGCAACAUUUGGAAAAAAAACAGGAGCAUAUUACAGCAGUAGGCGACGGCUGGGGGACCUAGGUUUAGGUUUAGGUUUCGUGUUGUGUGGGAGAGAGAGUCCUAAAGAGUGAGCAACACUGCAGCGACCGAGCGAGGGGUUGGUUUGUACUCCAGGGCCUCGACGCUGUGGGGCUCGGCUGCUCGGGCACUGUAGCUUUGGGCCACUUGAGUCAAGAUGGAUCGGUGCGUGCUAAAUAAUGUAUUUUGACGGGUUUUGUCGAGUUUCGAGUUUGGAUGGUACUCAAAUGGGUUUAAACCCGCGAAACAUACCGGGUUUUAUAAUGUACCCACGAGAAGCCCCGCGGGGAUAGAAAGUCGCCCAUCCCCGUCCCUAAUAGGGUAAAAACCCACGGGAACGCGGGUUUCAGGGCCCCAUUGCCAUCUUGACUUAGGAUCACUCCUUUGAGACCUACGCGCUAGCCAACUGCGCCACCACCCCUUUGUUGUAUGAGAAACGAUACAGCGGCUACUGUUCGUAUACAAACCUGUGCGGGUAUACAAACGUUGAGCAACUUCCCGAAGUCUAUCUAUCCUCUUCUAACUUCUUUUACAUUAGGUUGUUGGUUGGUUCUUCCAAGCAAUCGGUAAAUCUAGGAUUUUCAUCUUUCUUUCUUUCUUUCUUUGCGUUGAUAGGCUCUUCUCAUCCUAAACCUACAGAAUACGUGCUUAAAAAGGCUACAACACCGUAUAAACAGAAAAAUAAGAACGACGAGGACUCUAUGGUCUCCUGAUCGUUGCUUCACUCGUGGCUAUGGAUGGGCUCCACAGUGCCUUGUCUCUAGGGCGCGGCCUUGGUGGUGGGAACAUGGUGCUCAUGGGCGGAGCCCGUGGUUCAGGUGCGAGCUACCUACCAUGGUCAUGGGGAUGGCGUGGUGUAGUGUUUGGCGACCAUGGCGGUGGUGUGGCAGAUUUCAACUUGCCGCACCCUGGUCAAAGGCGAGGUAUGCUUGCCGGGUGAAAACCUUCAAAGGCUUUGGCCGGGCUAACGGAGGCGGCGUCCAUGGACUUCGUCCUCUUCUUGAAGUCUUUGUCGUGGUUGCACCUUGUGCUUCAUCGUGCUUCAGGUGAAAAUCUUGAUCCUUUGAAUUGGGGCGGUGGCAGCGCUCCGGUGUCGUGUUCUUUCAAAAGGCACCGCCUUGGGACUCAUGGUUCGUCGACUUUCAACUUCACCUUUUCACGGUGGCGAUUCAAGGUUGAGGGCUUUAUCGACUCCAGAGUGUGCUUAGUAUCCAUCUACUGUCUACUUGGAGUUGUAUGGGGUUGUUGUCAUUGACCUUCGCACCUAUUAUCUUGCCUUUAGUAUGUGUUGUGGUCGUUUGCAUCGAGUUGUAAGUUGGCCGUUGCUUUAUACAUAAAGCAAGGCGGAAGCCGUUUUCCAUAAAUAAGUAGCAAUUUUCUUGCAUCUAUGGGUCAUUCUCAACAGCGAACUGCUUGCUGGUUAAGCUACUAUCCGGAGGAGCUUUGUAACUCGACCAUUGUUGGUCGUAGCUUUUCUGGUUGAUUUUAUGAAAUCCCUUUCGGACACAAAUGUAACCAUUGCAAAAUUGUGUCUCCGUAUAUAGGCUUAUAUGGAUAAAAAGUUGGAGCCGUGUGCCCCCUAAAAAGGAGGACGCAAGUCUAUAUGUAAUAUGUAUCGACCAAAUAUAUUAUGCAUGUACUAGUAAAAGUGCCCGUGCGUUGCAACGGGCUAACAACAAAAACUCACAAAAAUUAUAAUGACCAACAUAAAACAAUUCAAGUUCAUCAAAUUGUGCCAACCUGAUGUAAAUCCUACAGAUCAAAUCAAUAAUUAAGAAUAACUCAUGUAAGAAAGAGGAGCCUGAGCUUUUAAAAAAAACGUGCACACCAUCCUGGUUGAAUGUGCUUGAAUGGACGCUCCUUCUGGCGCUGCUAGUGGCCACCACUAUGACUCCUUGUCCUCGUGGGCACGCGUGGGGAAGGAGCAGAUCCUCCAGCGCAAGAAACAGCAAAACACACCAAGAAUUAUGAACCACUUUUAGCUAUUUACAACAAAUAGCCCAAGAUUACACCACAUGGUCAUUAAUAGCAAGAUUGGAUAAAAAUAGCUUCUUGUAUAUUUAUACACUCACACAGCAGGUCCAGUUCUUCUCAUUGCCUCGCUGUAUAUUGUAGUCUUCACAGAAUAUUAAUUACAUGAUGAUGAGAUUAACCGAAAAGACUACACUGAAUUUUGGCAUUUUGCCUAUGCAGUAACUCAAAAGACAAACAACUCUUACAGAAUAAGAAUCGUAUGUGUUUUCUUCCACAAAGAUCAUGAACAGUGGGUUUAGUUUUCUAUUUUAUUUCAUUGUUGACCCAGUCUUUCAUGGCUGCUUCAUUAGGAACUUGAACAUGAAAGAGGACGAUAGGAAAGCCUCUUUUUAUUAUAGGUAUAUAUAUUCAGUAGCUCAGGCCUUUGUAGCAAAUUUGUAUAGGUCUGCUUGUUGUGCCUACCGAAGUAUGCACAUGUUUUUGACCUGCAAGUGCAGCUAGGGAUGCCUGUAAUUCAGACAAUUAAAACACAAAGUUGAUGAUUUCUGUGUGUAUGACACUUGUGUUCUGUACAUGUCCCCAUGCUUGCAAGUUGCAUUUGCAGUGUAUGGAACUAACCUUAUAUGGCUUAUUUGAGGGGACAACAACAGCAGCCAAGGUGGCGGCAGGAAGUCCUCGACGUGUGACCUGGACAACGUCUUGGUCAGUUACUUGGAGAUUAUGCUUCCAUUGCUCAUGCUCGCCGGGACACACUGUCGUCACCGUUGUCGAAGUCUUUGUCGCUGGGGGCGGGACUGGUCCCUUCCUACUUCCUAGUUCCUGCUUGAUUCUGCCAUGACCUGAUUGCCCUUGCAAUGCAACGGGGGCCUAAAUAUUUUACGUGUUAGAAAUAAUACAAUAAUAGAACCCCACAUAGUUCUUUUAUAGAGAACUUCGCAAACCUCGACUAAUCUAUAUCAUGCAGGGAAAGUAUCAAUCAUAUAUAUCUUCAGAAUCCCCAUACACAUCAAGCAGCAUUAUCUCCAUUUUAUUACUUUUAUAAAUCAUUCUUAUUUCCUCCAACCAAACUCACCAUGUCUAUAUCCUUUGAGCUAAGGGAAUAUUUGUACUAUGCAGAGGAGAAGAUUAACAUUCCAUAUUGAGAGAACAAAUCAAGUUUAGUAUAGGUGCCAUGCCAGUGGCAUGUUUGAGAUCAUGUCGUCAUUGCUGAACCUUGUACUAUGUCAUCUAGCAGAACACGUUAUCAUUUGCGUCGUAUAUAUUUCCCUUGAUGCAUGGGUGGAGCUGAACAUGCCCUGAACUCUGAUCUCCUUUCCUGCUUUGACUUUAAUAAACUUGAGUACAUAGUAUGCACAGUACUACUACUGUACAACAUAUAAUUAAUAUUUUACUGUGUGAAAAGAAAUUAAGUCAAGACCCUGAAGAAUACUACAAAAAUAUCUAAAUGUCCACAACGAUGUUCUUAAAUUCUGGAGAAAGCUCGUAACCCAGAUGUAGAUUUCAAGCUGGAAGUUUUAUGCACAAUCCUUUGUAUGUUUGGCAAGAAAAAUAAUAUCAAUGAGCUUCUAGCUUCUGCAUCAAUGAAUAUAUACCAGAAUCUAGCCUUUUGUACCCAACCAAACCUAGAAAACAAAGUCUAGAGAGAGGGGGGGGGGAUAGAGUCUGUCCACUUGCUCUGUAACAUUAGGAGCCAUGACACGCCAGUUUUCGGCUCAACUAUUCGAAGUAUAAACCACUUUUACUACUGAGUGCCAACUCGAGAAACAAAAUCCCAUUGUCAUCUUACUACGUAGCAGUAAGCGUUAAUUAAGAAGCAAUAUCUCAUAUUGUGUAGCUAGAAGAAAUUAACAUAUUAGUCAUUAAAGUUGACUCACGGCAUUCUUCCUGGGGGCAUCCAGCCCUAGUUGAUAGCAAGAAUUCUUCAUGUACUCUUUGGUCGCCUUUCCGCACGUCACCUACGGCAUAGUCAUAACCUGCACGAGCGAGUGCCAAGAACCCAAAUUAAAUUAAUCGUCAAAUAACAACUUGGAACUUGUGAAGAAGCACAAAAUGCUAGAGUCCAGAAAUAAAGGCAGAUUAAUUCUACUAAAGUUUUAAGAUAUUGAUCUUUAUGGUUUGAUAACAUGUGAAUAGGAAUUUUGGAAAAAAGUGGUGGCAAGUCAUACAACAGACAAAUAAAUUUGUCCAAGAACUGAUCCUCCAUGUCCGGAGAGAACAAUCACAGCUACAUGGAAGAUUUCUACAAGUUUAAUUGAAAUUUUAUGAGCAUAUUAACAUCCUCCGAAGUCUGAAUCUCUCCACCUUCCACUCCAUGGGCAUUGUCUUCCAUGUGAUAAAUGUAACUACUUCGCAUGAAAGGUAUAAUAUAAACUCCCAACAGAAGGUCAGAAUUAACAUGUUCAAAUCCCGCACUUGUAUUGAUGGACAAACGGUUCAUGACUUGCACACAGACAACUCUUGUGUGGUCAAGAAAGGGACCCAUUCAUUGUUGCUUCUUUGUUUCUCUGAUCAGCUUUUUCUAGGACUGAACUGAAGAAGAGGUUAUUUAGAUUCAGAACCUAAAACAUUGCUUGUUGUAGAGUCCCUCUCUGAAUUCCACAUUUUUUGCAAGAGCAGUCAUUGUACAUCAAAAUUUACCAUGUGAUUCAUCAGGAAAAAAAGGAAUGGAAAAAUGCCAUGCUACAAACAUAAUAUAACUGAAUACGCAUUGUCAUAUACAGUACGGAUUAUAAGACGCAUAGCUUUAAUAUCAUCAUUUUCCCACAAAAAAAUCUCUAAUAUCAACAUUUUGCAGAGGGAAAGGCUUUAGAUUUUUAGUGCAUUAACAUCAAAAGAUAGCGCUAACAAUAGAAAAGAAGUGGCUUAUAUUUAGAGAAGUGGUACAGGAAUGAAAGGUAAGCAAUAUACAUAAAUAGCAAGAUAUUCUAUGAUACACACACACACAUCAGGUUUCUGAUGGUCCACACAACAUCAGAAAUAACAAUAUAUAUCUAGAAAAGAACUGUGUGGGGUUCUGUUAUUCUGAUCAAUUGAGAAAGCCACAGCCUCCUUCCCAUGAGAGCAUGAUCCGUGAAUUGCAGCAGCUAGCCACUACAACAUGAGAGGAGCAUAGUUGCACGGCAACCGUCGGUGACCCAAGUGUAACGGAACUAACUGCUUGUGUGAUCUUAAUACGAAUUAAAUUGAUGUACCCAAUACGUUUGUCAAGACAAAUCCAAAAACAAAACUGCUUGUGCGACCAUACGAAUUAAAUUGCUGAAUCUCGGUUAGUGGAAAAGAUAUUAAUAACCUACAGGGUAAGAUUCCAAUCCUAAUGUUUGCUAGCAUGCAUAACAAUGUGACUCCCAGCAUGCACCAACAAUACGAAAAAAUUAGAGUUGGAAGGCACCUGAAUUCCUAAUACAGAGAACAUGAUGAGCAAAAACUAAUUCAAGUUCAACAGAACCAAAUCCUACAGCUCACCCAUCUUAUGAGGUAAGGGUUCCUGCUUCCAAGAUAUAUUUUUCUCUGCAAAUUCAGAUGAACAUUAUAAGGAUAAUUAAUACAUGGCAUGGCCAUAAAUUAUAUCCGAAACAAAAUUUGUUGAAGCAAGAACUUGAGCAACAAUUUCCAACGGCGUGGGUUACCUCUGAUCUCUGUGGAGGUGAGAAGGUCCUAAGUGAAGGACGAAGCAGCCAUAGUGGAUCCAUGACCAGAGAUGGCAUCCUGUAGAUGCCAAACCAUAGAAUAUAGGGCAUGUUUGCUAAAAGACCGCAACACCUCCGAUAGCUCAAUUAGGUCGGCUGAAGGUAAACAACAAUUAAAACUAAAAAUGCGCAUCAAAGAUAAAUCGAAAAAAUGCGCAGCAAAAACAAAAAGCAUGCACANNNNNNNNNNNNNNNNNNNNNNNNNNNNNNNNNNNNNNNNNNNNNNNNNNNNNNNNNNNNNNNNNNNNNNNNNNNNNNNNNNNNNNNNNNNNNNNNNNNNNNNNNNNNNNNNNNNNNNNNNNNNNNNNNNNNNNNNNNNNNNNNNNNNNNNNNNNNNNNUCAUUAUGAGUGCCCAGAUCUUGUUGGAGGUGCUGUGUCUAGGCAAAAAAAAAGGUCAACACCUAACUGUAACUUCUUUAUAUGAUUAAAAAAAUCUGCAGAUAUACAUUUGUUAAGCCAUAGGAGCCGGCGUACCCAUGUGUCUUGAGACUAAACAUGAUGUAAAUUAAUUAGCAAACCAUUAUUCUAAUAACCCGAUUCACUCCCACCAUCAUAACAUGUUUUGAAUCAUAUGAAAGGAGAUUUAGUCUCAUGAUGUAUUCAUGUGGAGUUUACCUCAAGGAUCUGUGACUGAAACAGGUUCAGACAAACACACAAACACCUUGUGUGCAAAAAAUAACUGAGAACAUCCACAAGCACAUGAGCGUCCAAAUUUGAGGUGAAAGUGUUGCAGAGGGGACGGCCAGGUCGCCAGCAAGUGCAACGACGACCAGCUCGCGGUGGCUUUGGUCGAGCGGCGAACGCAAGCCCUCCCGAGCGGCACACAGCGAGGAGCUCGGGCACGCGGGAGAGAGGAGGAGCUCGGGCACGCGGGGAAGAUGAGGAGCUAAGGAGGAACGGUGGUGCAGGGUGCUGUGAUUGCCGGCGUCGGCGGCGGCCGGCGCGUCACCGGAUCGAGCGCCCCAAGGGCCGCGUGCCUCCUGGCGGCUGGGAUCAGGAGGCGUGGGAGAGAGGAGAGCUCGUGCAGUCGUGCCCGUGUCUGUUUUUUUUAUUUACAACCCCGGACGAAACGUUUUUUUCACUUAAAACAGGGAUUGCGGGUUGAUUUCUUAGAAAGAGAGGGACUUUUAUGAAAAAUUGCUGACGUACGACCAGAAGCAAUAAGCGCUUUAUUAGUAGGUAAAGAUAAAGAUAAAGAUAAAGAUAAAGAUAAAGAUAUAUACACAUUGCUUGAGCAACAACAAAUUGUGAACCAAACUUGAAAACACACAGCAAAAGUAACUAAAAAAUGCUGAAAAUAACUUUGCACAAAGAUACACCAUAUAUUUACCAUUAACAACAUUUCAAAUUCAAAUUCAGUCUACACCCUAAGAAACGAACGUAAUAAAUCGUGUUAUAUAUAAAUAGUAGUUACAUUAAAACGGACGUUGAGCCAACUAACAUUGCCAUAGCUGAAUUUGGUUAUUAAUUUUCUCAUGGCUCAAAUUUGGAUUUGAAAGUUUGUAACAUGAGAUAUGCAAGUUCAAUGUGUUAAAUUGUUUUCACCUUUUUUCUGACAACUUUUAACGUGUGCCCUUUUUUUCUGAAACGUUAACGUGUGCUUUUCAUGUACCGGUUGCAGCACAAACUUGCGUCGUUGUUCAGAGGGAUAAGAUCGAUGCGUGUAUGUAGUAACACAUUGUUUGAGCGACAACAACUUGUGCACAUAUCAGUACUUUCGUACUUACUCAUCUCUGUAUGUUUGUAUGCAUUGCAAAGAUAAGAAACUAAUACUGGAAUUUGUCUCUCGAUUCAUAGAACAGGGAAGCAAUCCUCCUAGGGGAAGUUAGUUGUAACAACCAUCCUUGAUACGGCAGCGGAGUAGAGCAUCCCUGUUUCAAGACAAGAUUCUUUGGGAAUGAAGCUCUGCUCAUCUCUUGAGAAAGAUGCUUCUUCAGGAUCAAUCAAUGGCAUGUGCAGCAGCACAAGCUCGUCGACCGAAACCCUUCUCCACUGCACUCCUAUUAAGAGGGGCGUUGUGCAGCCCAACGAUCCUCGUCAGAGGCAAGAGAGGAAGAAGCACAAGUCCAGAAGCAAUGGGGGGGAGAAGAAGGAGAGAGUGAUGGCCGCCGCCCUCUGUGUGCUCGCCAUCCUGCUGUCGGCCCAGUAGCCGCCGGUCGGGGUUGCCGACCCCGCCACGUCGCCGUUCUGCCAGUGCUACGUGUGCUGCUACCAGGGCUGCAAGGUCAACAACUGCAGUGAUUGCUGCGCCGACUGCUACUUCCCUGGCGACCCCGACUUCGAGAACGCCUGCCGGAUGUCCAGCGGGAAGCAGGCCUCGGUCUGCGGCACGGAGGCCACCGGCGAAGGUGAGUAAUAAUACAUGGACGCCCACCAUAUUGGUUAAUUGAUUACUCUCCCGUUCUCCGUUUGUCUCUGAAUUGAUCGUUUCUCUUGUCUGCAUUUUUGAUAGAUACUAUUUGUAUUACUGCUGAAGAUGUUGCAGCCAACUACUGGAGCCGCCGCCACAUCAAGGCCAAGGCCAAGGCCAAGCACGGCUAGACUCCUACUACUACUGGGUGCUGCACCGAAGCCAUGGUGUGACUGACGAUGUUCAGAGGUUAUGUCAUGUGAUGUCCGAUUAUGACAGACAGUUGAUUAUGACAGACGAUGUUCGGAGAACUUAGUCUAUAAUAAAGUCUCCUGUGAUUUGGAAUAAAAUAGUUCGUCAAUAAAUCAAUAUUUUGUGGUAGUAAUUUAUAUAGUUUAUAUAUUGAUGACAAGCUGAAACUAAAGAGCAAGAACAAUGAGAUGGCAAGGUUAAAUAUUGAAAAGGACAAGUUUGCAGUUAAAUUGCACAAAUUGGGUUCCUUGACUUACCAAAGCAUAAGCAUCUGGUCAAUCUUUGACUUGCAAAAGUAACUUAAAGAUAGUGGAUGUUGCUCUCUAUCAUGAAUAAAACUUCCCAAACUAACACCUUUUCUAGUCUAACAGACUAGCCAACAGUUUAUAUAUACAAAGUAAGGUGAUCGAAGAACAAAAGAAAAUACCGGCUUGCUAAGUGGGAUAUUAUCUGUCGACCCAAAGACCAAGGUGGGCUUGGUAUUGAGAAUCUAGAGGUUAAGAACAGAUGCCUUCUUAGUAAGUGGUUGUGGAAGCUCGCGUCCGGUACUGAAGCAAUGUGGGCGCAAAUCAUUCGCAGCAAGUACCUCCAGACUAGAACGUUAUCGCAGGUAUCAGUUAGGCCGACUGAUUCGCUUUUCUGGAAGGGACUAAUGAAAGUCAAAGUAUUACUGUUUAAUAGGACAAAAGUGGUCCUUGGAAAUGGUGCUACUACACGUUUCUGGGAGGAUUCUUGGCUGGGUGACUCGCCCUUGGCUAUGCAGUAUCCUUCUUUAUAUCGUAUUGCGCAACGACGAGAGGUGUUCGUGGCAACGGUAUUUCAAACUAUCCCCCUUAAUAUUCAGUUUAGACGGUCGCUAGUGGGCAAUCGUUGGGAGGUUUGGCUCCAGUUAGUAAGGAGACUAAUGGAGGUCCAACUCUCUGACCAACCUGAUGUAUUACGCUGGAAGUUGACCAAGAAUGGGGUAUUUACAGUGAGGUCAAUGUAUCUUGAUGUUAUUAACUCAAGUUCUAUUCCAACGUCCAAAAAGGUAUGGGAUGUUAAAGUUCCUUUGAAAAUAAAAGUGUUUAUGUGGUUUGUGCAUAAACAAGUCAUUCUCACAAAGGACAAUUUGAUAAAGCGUAAUUGGACAGGACCUACUAGGUGUAGUUUCUGUGAUCGAGAUGAGACAAUUAAACAUCUCUUUUUUGAUUGCCCGCUAGCUAAGGUUCUAUGGCAGACGGUGCAUAUUGCCUUUAAUAUUACUCCACCCACCACGGUUACCGCUUUAUUUGGGACUUGGCUUAAUGGGAUUGAUUCUGCAUUAGCAAGGCAUAUUCGGGUGGGAGUUUGUGCGUUGAUGUGGACCAUCUGGUUGUGCAGAAAUGAUUUAGUUUUUAACAGAACACCACGAAUUCAUUUUUUGCAGGUUCUAUUCCGAGCUACGGCUUUGAUCCGUUUGUGGUCGUCACUCACUCCGAUGGAGGCCAGGGAGUAUUUGGUUACUGGGUCUACCCGAUGGGAGAUGGCUGCUCGGGUUAUCUUCAACCGGUUUGGAUGGCAGUCAUGUAAUAGGAUAGGCAAUUAGUUUUCCUAUCUUCUUUAGCCAGCCGGUUGUGGCAUUUUAUUUCUGGCUAGUCUGUGUGUCAAUAUGGGCUGCAUUUUCUUUGUUUGAUUUUGAGACUAUGGAACCUUGUAUGCACACUUUGCUGCUUUGGUUAAUAAGAGGGCCGUAUGCAUCAUUCUUGAUGCAGAGGCCGGGGUACCCCCCUUUUCGAAAAAAAAAGGUGAUCGAAGAACAGCAACCGUGCAACUGUGUGUAAAUCAAGUUGGGUUCUUUGUGAGAAAUUUUAACUAUAACGCAGGUGAAUGCAUAUCCAAUAAGAAAAGAAAAGAGAGUGUGCACAUGCGUUUGCACUUUACACUGGUACAUAUAGCUUCAUGUUAGUAAGGCAGAUCAGGUUCGCCAAUUAGGUUCGGGAAUGAAAAGUCGCAGCCUGUAAUUAUCUGUACUUUACACUGGUACAUAUUGUACAAGCGAAUUGCUCUCUGUAACAUGUAAUUAUCUGUUCCAUGGCGUGGUUGUCACCACGAAUUCAGAUUUCUUUUCUUAGGAAAUAAUUACUACUCUAAAUCAUAUAACGUUUGGUCACCCUAUGAGACAAUCGCUACUCCAAAUCAUGCAUAAAUAGUCACGGCCUGUUGUUUUAGUUGCUCAAAAAACUUGCUACAGCAAGAAAUUUUGUUCAUCCAGGCUGUGCUGCCAGUUUACCAUUUUAUCAAUUGAUGUUAGGUACCCCUUUUCAUCACGAGUAUAGGCCAUGGUAGCCUGCUUUUCAAGAUAUUUAAGUUCUGAUGCUACAAAAUUCACAUUCACGAGAUGGGGUGUGGACAACUUCCAAUCCUUAUCCCUUUAGUUUUAUGCUACUCCAAUUGUAUCUGGCACAAUUUGAUACAUCACACGGUCUAGUGUGCAUUGAAACAGUAGUUACAGAGUUUGGCCUCUCUGUCUUGUUUCUGUGUAUACUUCUGAUUCAGACCUGCAACUAGCGUGUUCGUGUGAUUCCGAUGAAUUUGGUACAUUCAAACUUCCAUUAGGAUUUCUAUGAUUUUGGUAUUAUUCCCAGUUUAAGGUAGUGAAGCCUCACGUAACUCUGAGUGUUAUAUGUUCUUGUGUGUUGGCAGCCUUUACCUUUUUGUUGGUAUGCAUCUAGCAACUGAAAAAAAUAUGUUAUUUUCAGGUGUCUAUUCAAGUGGAUGUGAAUGUUUCAUCCGCUGGAGAGAUUGUUGGACAGAUGAAAUUGCUGGGAAAUCUUUGGCCACCAGCAGGUUAAGCUGCUUGAAGACCAAGUUCAAAACAUGUACGAUGGCAGUGUUGCGCCUCUGAGUCUCUUUGCACCCUGAUGUAAUUAGUCCGGUAGUAUUCAGUUCUGUAGUGAUUAUUUCCGAAUUUUUCCUGCUGCUGGUUAUCGAGUUUAAUUGACAUUCAGUGUUCUCCAAAGGAACUUUAUUUGUACUACUAGUCGGGAUGAUUUUUAUUACGUUAGACAUAUCCCGGAACCAUCGCUUACUCUUCUACAUUGAAUGUAUUUAUUACGUAUGUGGCUUUGCUAUUGCUAGGCCAUGUCGUUGAUUAUAUGAUUUUACGGCCAUCAGCCUAGUUCUUACAUUGGCUCUCAAAUUCUGUACAUCAAUGCCUCUCACGGUUUGUUUUUAGAUUGGUUCCAUAAUCUGUACGUUGGCCGUUUCUGAAAUUUCUUAAGCUGGUGCUUGCAGAAACAGUCUGUGUACCGAAUAAAUUAGUGGACCAUUUCUUACAGUGAGCAAAAUUGCCGUGUACAGAACAAUUAGUGGACUAGGUCGAGAAUGACCAUUAAUAGAUCUAGCAAAAAUACCUGCGAUAAAGGAAUGCAGCCUUAUGUUCUGGAAAAAUAGAAUGCAGCAUUAUCCUAUAAAAAACAGGAACACAACCCCAUUGGUUGCCGUAAAAUUACAGUACCAUCUUUUCAUUUUUUAUAGUUCAAUUUAGUUGCGCCAUAGUGGCUUUGAUGACCAGGCCGUAGCUUACAUGCAUGCAUUCUGUAAGAUUACCUUGCCCCCUUCUGUACGUGAGAGACCGGCUUCUUUCUUCUCACCUUAAUCUUAUCUCAAGUGUUUGUGGGGAUUGGACUGGGAAUUCCUCACCCAGGGAUGUAUUUUUCCUAUAUAGGACAAAUUUUAUCUACAAGCAGUGGUAGUUACCUCCUAAUUAUCCAUCGUCGAUGUGCAACAGGACAGAUCGGGUUUGCGGGCGCGCAUGAAUCUGUUAUUCGCAUGCAACCUAGUUUUUUAAUUAAAUAAUCCGGCCGAUUUACCAGCUAGUUUAAACAACCCACUUGAUUGUCGCUGCAUGCAUGCCUGUUGCAUGCGCUAGUCCGUUCGAUCCAUAGUAGUAUCAUUUUUUUAUAGAAUCUAUAGAGUAGUAUGUUGACACGUUAACUGGAUUAACACGUCUUGGAAUUAUGUGUAUGUCUACUAGCUUAGAGUGCUGUUGGCCGGCCAUGGUACCGAAAUAUGCAUGUUUAACAGAGAAUUUUCAAGUUAUUAGUUAAAGGGAUUAAUGAAGAGAUGAGUAUAUUCAUCUAAUCUCAGGAGUAUAUGAAUCUAAAAAGGAGUAUAUCACAAAAAAGGAAGUUGAAAAGGGAGUAUUUUUCAUACUAUCAUACUCCCUUAGUUUCAUAUAGUAUGUAGUAUAUCACAUCACGCAAAAAAUGUAUGUAGUAUAUCACUGAACAUUUUUUUCUAGAAAGAUAGUAUCGAGUAUAUAUGAACUAAGGUAGUAUGGAGUUCAUAUAGUAUGUAGUAUAUCGCUGAACAAUUUUUCUAGAAAGGUAGUAUAUGACCGAAAUGGAGUAUGAAGUAUCUUUUUUUAAUAGUGCGAAGUAUAUUUCUAGAAAGGUAGUAUGGAGUAUAUAAACAAGAAUGGUACUCCCUCCUUCCAUCUAUAUAGGGCCUAAUGCGUUUUUUAAGGUUAACUUUGAUCAAAUGUUAGAGCAAUAAUAUAUGACAUGCAACUUACACAAAGCAUACCAUCAAAUUCGUAUGUGAAAGUAGAUUUCAAUGAUAUAUUUUUCACAUUAUGCAUGUCAUGUACUAUUAAUCUUGUCAAUAGUCAAAGACGGUCUUGAAAAAAGCAUUAGGCCCUAUAUAGAUGGAAUGAGGGAGUAUGGAGUAUGUCGACAAAAACAAGAGAGUUUUUCUUUUAAUUAAGUUGCAAAAAUAUAAAACUAUAGGAUUAACAUACUCCCUCCGUCUCAAAAAAAUGUUUCAAUCUUAAUACAACUUUGUACUAGAGUUAGUACAAAGUUGAGACACUUAUUUUGGGACGGAAGAAGUAGUAUAUUUUAUCAUUCAUGUGUACACAUCAUGUAUAUGUAUAUAUACCUCAACUUGAAGUAUGUUGUAUGUAAACCGUCCUAAAAGAAUACUCCGAACACCAUUCUAGUGACCAUACAGGUAUUGUCAUCAUAGGCUACAAUCAGUACAUUUUACUAACAUGAACGAUAGUGGAGUCCAAUGAUCGAUUGUAUCUAUACAAUCCUGGCCGCCGGCCUGCUGAUAUACACAAGGCAAAACGAACUAGUUCUACUAAGGACAAGCCAUGGAGAUUUAGAGCGUGCAAAACAUCUAGCUAGAUACUCAUGAUACGUAUGCAUGUCUUGUAGCCAUUGUUGCCGCUGGAUUAUGGGGUAGCAGAUCAGGUAUGUAUGGACGCGGUUUUUGUCCUUCGCGUUCCAUUCAUAGCGGCAAUCCAGUCCGCUAGCGCUAGCAUGUGGAUUCGCGUUGCAUGUCGGCCAGGAUAGAGUCGGACCGAUGACCGCUCUCGUAUUCAUCUGUAUCUCAAUUUAUCACCCCUCCACUCCCACCGUAUUCCACAGUAACGGGCCCCCCUUCCCUGCCCCCACCACCACACUACCCCCUUCUUCCUCAUUUGUCUCUAGCAAAAUAGAGCAUUGACCACGAGCUGUUCUUUCUCAGCGUCAAUGGCGCCUAGGAAUGGCUACACAGGAGAAGGAGGGAGCUCAGUCAUAUCCACGGAUCUAAGCCAUGGCAGUGUUGAAUCAGGCGAAUCUCUUCAGGUUAUGUUUGCUCCCCUCUCUUUUCCCACUCCCCCCUUUUUCUUUUGGUCAGAUCCGCUUCUUCUUAACCUCUUUUCAUCUUCUGAUCUGCAGCCCGUCCAACCUACGGCCGAUGUACCUCCAGAAGAGAUUCCGGAUCCAGAGUUCUUUAGCAUAGAUACUUCCUCUCCACAUAGGUGCCAUCACGAAAUGCGUCUAGCAAGAAAAGUGGCUUUCGUCUACGCGGCCACAGGCAGGAGGUUCCUUGGAUGCCCUCUCUCGGUGAGCAUUUAGUAUCUGAUUCAAUUAUCUAAUUUUUUGCAUUUCAGUUUGCAGACAUUCAAAUUUCUUCUAUAUCAUCCCAAUUUUAUCUGUAUGCAGGGACCUGAUAGGUGCUCCUGGUUCAUGUGGAUAGAUGAAGCAUGGGGUCCUGUACUUAGCCGUUCAUUAAUACAACUCUGGGAUCAGGCUCUCCUGGACUCUGGAAGAGCAGCAAGGUUGCAGACAAAGAAAAAGGAAAUGGAGCAAGCAUACUUAGAGUUGUGGACUGAGAGGAGCAAUAUGGAGAUUGAAAACUAGCAGGUGGUCAACAAGUUGAAGACCACAAUACUCGACACUGAGAUUAAGAUGUCAAGGAGGUUGGAAUUUCACACUAAGAUGUGUGGCAUUUAUUUCUUCAGCUGUUACCCUUGCUUCAGUGCUCGCUUAUGUGCUGUCUGCACACUAGUGUAGUUUGUUGGUGAUCAUGUAUGUGCUGAAUUAGGAUGUUUCGCCACAUUGUAUGACCAUUAAGUUACACCGGUAUGUUUUAUUCUGUAUGUGCCAACUGAGUUCUAGUUUGCAGAGCCCGAAUUAAGUUGUUAUUUAUCCCUAAAUAUUUUAUUAUUACCUCCCUUGGCAAGAUCACUCAUGUUCGGUUUUGUUUCUAUUGGCCGCGUGCAAGAAUUGUUUUCCAUUGAAAGUGUUGCAUAUUAGAGCUGCAAAAGUACUCUUGCGAAAAAGCAAGAAGUUUGUUAAGUUCUUCAGAUGAUACAUAUAAAGUUCCAUAGGCAUUUCUUCAAUUUUUACGCUGUGAUAAGUAUAUAGUUUGUUGCUUCCUGUCAUCAGUACCCAUUUUCAAACAAAUCACUAGAGUUAUCCUUUUUUUAAUAUUCCAACUACGAUGGUGCUUAUGCAAUGCAUAUUUUUCUGUUUAAUCGAGGAUGUUUUCCGAAGUCGCAUAUGUACUGAGGGGGAAACGGUUCAUUCUCUUUCCCAACUAGGUUAGCCGAAGACCACUGCCAACAUAUAGUGUACUGUUUCCAAUUAUGAAGUUUGGUCGCAUUAUACCUAUGCUUCAUUUGGAUCAUGCAAAUAUCCGUGGCAAAACAAAGGAUUCGACCUCAGGGUCAUAUUCACUGUAAACCUCAUGAUUAAGAAGGUACUCCUCUCUUCCCUUUAUAAAACCAUCAAUCAAACGCAUUCCCAGUACUUUAACAAUGUUGUAUCAACAUAUUCAAGUUAGUUGCCUAUUUCCCAGAAAAAGUGAUUAAUCAGAUCGUGAACUUAUUCCAUUGGUCCUAAUGACCAGGGGCGGUGCCAGCUAUCUGGCAUGGUUUGGCUGCUGCAACACCUACAAUUUACUGUAAAAAUACCUAGUACACUGCUUCCAAAUUUACAAAUUUAAAAUCGCUUAGGUUCAGUUCCUGUUUGGCUUUGUUGGUGGAUUUGAUGAAUUUUUAUGUAGGGUCAGUGAUCUCAUGACUGUAGGGCUCUACACCGACUAGUCAGCUUGAUAAAUUGGUCGGAGACUUGCAAGUUGUUGCUUUACUCCAUAGACGAGCAAAAACAUAAAUAUACUAUCCGGACCGCUAUGUCACUAUUGCCAAAAUACUAGAAAGUCGAAACCCUCGUGAAGUUUUGAUCAUUCAUGGAGGCGGCAAGGCACGCAGUAGAAGACAUUGAACUGAUAGCGGCUACCGUUGGUGAUCAGUCUGGGCCAGACAGUGAGGACUCUAGGGUCCAAGGACAACUAGGCUAGUGUGUCACACUGAUAAUUAUAUAUGGGUUCCACCUUUAUAGACUCCGCCAUAUCUACAAUUUAUUUCUGCCUUCUGAACUGCUAAUCACCCCUGCUAUUAUGUGGUAUUUUGAAUGAUGCCACAUUGGUCCGUAUGCGAAACAAUUAAGUGAGAACAGCUUGCAAAUUUAAUAAAUUAACAUGUUCACCAAGUGAAAGCAAAUUAAUUCUGAUCACAUCAUAGUUUUAAAGACCGAAUAGUUUGGGAAGUUCUAUGAAUUCUCUUCCGAGGCUAAACAAACAUUCAAUUCAAGUAGUCCAUCCACUCCCGGCAAAAUAACUUGUUCAUAUUGUCCUUCUUGCGAACAAGUCAAUCCUUGAUCUUGUCGUUCUUGCUAAUAAGGCAAUCCUUGUACCUCGCAGGCAGAUGACCAAUGUUACCUUCAGAACCAAGCAAGUCCACAAGCAUGUUCAUCCUAGCAUGCAUGACACCGUCACCCUGCGUUUGUUAAAAAAUUAGUUAUAGGUCGCAAAUCAACAUGCUAACCCACUUGUUCUGCAAGCAUCUUCAUUGUUGGAAAUUCCUUACCGGGUUCAUGUCCCUUUUCAGUUUAGUUCCCAUCCAAUUCCUUCCAAAGUGAGUAGCAUAUAUGUCCGUGUCUUCCCUGAAAAUCAUGUCAAAUUCAGAAUGUCAGUAACUAUGCUUAUGAAUAGACACGAUUACAUAAAGUAAGCAUUAUUCACACAACAAAUCAUUAUUUUCUGCAUAUCCCUGUUGCCAGGCCCCUUGGGAAGCAUGUAUUCCACGACCUCAUGUCUGGCUCCCAUCCAGAGAAGAAUGACUUUAUGCAUAUCUCUAUAGCCUUGUGAAGCUCGUCUGCAACCUUCCUGUGCCUGAGCUGAAUUACCUUAUCAGACUCGUCACCAUUGUUCAUUGUUGGGUCGAGGACAAAAAUCUUCGCCCUUGGAAAGUCCCAUAUGUAUGUAGACCAUUUGAAGUCGAACUUAACUAGCAACACAACCUGUUAAUUGGAAAAAAGGCACUGGAGUUUAUUAAAUAAACAUUAUUUAUCAAAUCUUUUAAAUCACUUUUGUCUUUUUAAAAGGUCACCUCGGUGCACUUGUGAACCUCGUAAGUGAUAUGCGGCCCCACGAACAUGUCCUUGAUGUACCUCAGCUUUGAAAUGUUGUCUCCUCUGCUAACAUGGUUCUGCAUGUUUCGAAUUUAUGAGUAACACUUAGCUGAAGCAUGGAAUUUUUUGUAUUGAUCAAUGAUUUCAACUGAAGUUCCUCACCACAAAAUCUGGCUCCAGCCAAUGUCACCAACAUCCUUCCCCUUUUGUAGCAGCAAAGACCGCAUCCAUCUGUUGGUACCUUCUCAUCACCAAUGUCAUCAGCACACUAUCCACCUCACCACCAUCGCGUAGCAUCUCACGGAGCCGCUCCCCACUGAUGUCCAUGUAUUUUGGGUUGAUGCUGAUAAUCCACAUGCUGCACAGUUGAAAUAGAACAUAUUGCGGUCAACAAACUAGGCUUUACCAAUGGUAAGGAUGAAAAACGAACUCGAACUAUGGUUUUUUCCUGCUGAGAGCUUACUCUUUUAGCUUGUUCGCGUUCUCCCUAUAGAAUAGCUUGUAUAUCUGCACUACAUUCGCUGGAGCUCUAGUAGGAGGGUCAUUACCCAUUACAAAGGGAGACCUUGCAUAUUUCCCAGGCCUCACCACCCUCUUUGGCUGAGGCUGUGUGCUAAAUGAUCCCUGUGACAUAGUGACGUUGAGGUUGAUAGCCGCCUCCUCUAUCUCCUCCCUAAUGUCAAGCUCGACAGCAGACAUCUGGCGGUUGAGGCUAACUGGAGAAGUCCUUGAAGAUGUACCUGCAAACAUUUGGUUUGGUGCUGGAGUGGCAACAAUCUGCAUUCCUCAAUCUGCAUGGCGAACACGGCAAGGUUAGCACGCAGGUCAUGACCUAACUGUAUUAGCUGUAUCUAUUAACAUUUAACCCCAGCUGGUAAAAGAAUCACGGUUACCUUCAGGAGUUUGCAUCUUGGUUGCUGCAGAACCAGGCGUGAUGUUUGCGGAAGCAACCGACACGCCUGAAACAAGUUAGUAAAUAAUGAAUUAGCUUCCCGAUUCAUUAUUUUUCAGUCACAAAGGAUGAUCCAUCAUACUGAUUUUAAACCAUACCGUUGGACGUUGAAACGGCUGUAAAAGCAUUCAUCAAGGCCGUCUUCCUAAGACCUGACAUUACAACUUUGAACUUCCCAUGCAUCUCUGGAGGAUCUAUUGAUAAACAUCCACCUAAGUCAUCAUCCUGUCCUGAAGAAACUAUUGACAAUUGAUUCUUGUCAACACCAUCCUUUUGGUUCUCUGCAGCUUCAUCAGUUCCUGUUGCUAUUUUUGGAGAGCAUAUAACUUCAUUUCUUGCCGCCCCACACACCACUGACAUCUCCAAGUUGUUCCCUGUAGUAUUGUCCAACAGCCCUGUCGCAUUGCCAACAAUCCCACUGCGCAACCUACUGUAUUCAUCUGCUGCUUCAAUCAGAUCAUCUAUUGCUUUGUUUGCUUCUUCUUGAGCACCUUCAGAUUCUUCAGAGCUCUCUAUCCUUGCCCUCUUCGGUGUGUGCCUCCUUGAUGUAACAACCUUCUUUCUUUUCACACCUAAUUUGCUCUUUGCCAAUGGUUCCACGUUAGCGGAAGCUCCCUCUGCCGACUCUAUGCUUAGUGCAUUCUCUGCAUCCCCUUGAACCCCUUGAACAUCUGAGAAAUUACACAACAAACGGGUUAGACAGUUGACAGUUUUUAUUCUAAGAACAAACAUAAUUCUAUUUCUUGUGAAUUACAAUACCUGCUUGGGUUGAAUAAUUGGGCCUCUGCUUUCGUGCCCUCAUUGCAUCAGUUAUCUGGUUGAUGUCUGCAAUUAUCUUCUUAGUUUCUGAGAGUAUUAACCCGUUAGUAUCAUUGACAAUCUCAUCCCAUCCUUCUGCGUGUCUCUUGUUUAAUCUUGCUCCCUUCCUUGAUGCCUCAUUUACAGCUGUCUUGCACUUGUUGGAGUACUGCUCGACCUUGUUGAUAAUAAUACCUGCAAACUGAAUUUUAUCAAAGUUUACCCAAUAAAUGAUGUCAGUUUAUGUUCCAUAUAUUACUUACUCAUCAAUAUAUUUGACCUAUAUCAAAACUUACAUUUGUGAACACUUUAUCACCCCCAAUUCCCUCUGUGCUGCACCCAAUCCCGUAUCCAUCAGUUGUUUUCUGAGUUGUUGUUGCCAUGGUAUUACGGCUGUAGCGUACUGUCCCCGGAUGCCUUGGCUGUAAAUAUUUAUCCAGAAAGGUUUCAUCAUUGCAAAGCAAUAGGCAAAGGUGACUUAUCUAUAUAAACAUACCAGACAGAGUAAAAGCAAAUGGGAACCAUGCUAGUACGAAUAUGACAUAAGCAUCAAGUCAUCUCAUAGUUAGAUAUGCUAGCAACGCGGCCAUUUGUAACAGCUCAAUCAAUAGGUAUACCACACAUGUCCUACUAACACAAUAUCCUUUCCAUCACAAGAUUAUUUUACUAUACUUGUUUUGUAUCUUAACUUACCAGUAGGUGUCCAUACACUACAAUCUCUGCAUCUUUCCCAGUUGUCGUGUCUUCAUCAAUAACAUCAGAGAUAGUCUUCUAUGAGUAUUCCUUGCACCUAGGGAACACAUCGUGGGGCAGGUUCUUAUCUUCUCGUUCGAGAUUGUCAAGAUAGAAAACCUGUGACAUGAAACAAAUUUGUGAUUAAUUGUUUCGUCACAAGUUGAAUCCGAAGCAAUGACAUUCGCUCAAACCUGCAAGAAGAACGUGCAUCCAGUGAGAUUUGACUUCAGUUUCCCACCUAGCAGUUCAGACUUCACCCUACCAGCAGAAGAAAGGAGCUCUUCUCUAAUGUACCGUCCCCAAUUGAACAUUUGAACCAUAUCAGGUAUGUGCAAGGCAUUCCAAUAAUCUGUCAUGAAAUAGUUGUGCUUCAGCGGAGGUGCCAGGAGGAAAGUCAUCGCGCAAAUUGUGAAGGCAACCUUGAACUUGUCUGCUUCAGCCUUUGUCAUAGCUCUGCCAUACCGAAUCUUCACUAUGUUAACUAUGGGUGUGAUCUUUUUUUCUCCAUUGCCGAUUCCUAAGAUCUCACGUACAGUACCUGCCACGUGCGGCGGUGCAUUCUUGUUAACAGGAGAUCCUACUGAUGGCACCCCCAGUACCUUGCCGACGUCUCCGUCGUCGAAAGGUAAUUCUCUCCUAGCAUCAAUUAUGAUAGCAGAUGCCUUCUCGUCAACUUUGCUCAUAAGCCACAUGGAUUGUUGCCUGUUUGCCUUAUUGCUGGUAAUUCCAAUAGUCCUUCGAACCCCAUCUCACGUACCAGAGCCUUUUUUUCUUCAGACAGCCCAUCAAUCAAGGCCUUCAUCUUUUUUAUGCUGCUCCUUGAAUUUAUUGGGUUUUGUGAUGCCUUCUUCUUGCCCUUUCUAGCGCCAUCUGACUCUAACUCUUCUGGUGUACCGAUGUGUUGUGUAGGAUACACAUCGAACCCUUCUGAUGAUUCCUCAUCGGAUUGCUUGUAAUCAGAUGAGGACGAACCAGACACCAUUUUCUGCGAUGUAUUUAGAAACAAAGUCAGGCGACAUAUAUAAUAUAUAUCACGAUUAAAAAAAGAUGGUCAUCAUUGUUGUAUGAACCUAGAAAUAAUUAUCAGUUUGUCAAUCUCUACAGACAUCAUAAUAUUUCCCCCAAUUGUACACUCACAACAAUACAGUCAACAUAGUAAGAAUGAUUUUCUAAUCUAAACCAUUACCAAUCCUUCUAAGUUUCCUUACAGCCGACGGACCUCUAAAAAAUCUUUAAUCCCACUGUGUAUAAAUACUGAAUAUACAAGCCAUACUAUAGAAUGCAGAUCGACACAAAAUUAAGUCCACGGAUAUUGUAUUCUGUUAACAUGUCCUCUCUUGUUAAGCAGUCAUUCUCAUGUUUUCACAUUUCUUCCAGACAAAAUAGCUUUUUUAUGUUAAGUUCCAGCUAAGAAUUCAUUUGUGUGCAGAUAUAAAAAAUGGACACUAAAGCUCCCUAUUUUUAGAUCAUUUUCCAAAAGCUUACUACUGAUAUGUUGACCCCCACCAUGCAUAUUUUCUUUAUAUAUGUAUCGUUUUACUGUUUUCUGAUGCAAACCAUUAACACUUAUGAAUUGUAACACUUUGAUACCGCUAUUAUUAUCACAGAAUCUAAUGGGAGUUCUCUUCAACAUUAGGUAUAUAACAUCCAUGACAUGCAUCGGGUAUCUCAGGUUAGAGUUAAAAAAACUCCAUGCCGUGCAUCAGGUAUUCACAACUUCCAUAAAGAUGUAUCAGGUAUCUCUAAUCUUACCCUAAAUAUCCCAUACCAAACAAUUGCAAACAAUCAAGAACAAGAAAAACUACUUGCGUUUGGAAAUGCCACAGAAACCAAACUACUAAAAUGAUAAAUAUGUUGUUGAAGAUCCAAUCAUCAGGGAGGAAAUCAACAAACACUGCCCAACUCGAACAACGAACAUGUGGUAUCUUUUUUCCAGUAGAACCAGUGAGGAGCUCCUAGUUCUUCAUCCUUGGGGAGAAGGAGCUCCUGGUUCUUCAUGUUUUUGGGGAAGGAGCUCCUAGUCCUUCAUCCUUGUUUUGAAGGAGCUCCUAGUUCUUCAUCCAGGGUGGGAAGGAGAUCCUAUUUCUUCAGCCUUGGGGAGAAUGAGAGAGGAGCACCAAAUGCGAAUGAAUGUAUGACAAUGGACUCUACCCUCUCACAGCUCUUCCCUUCAACAAGUGUUAGGUUCUAGGUGUCUAGACAAGUGUUUGGAAUCUUUUUGUACAUGACACACAGCUACCCGCCCUUGGCUUCCAAAAAGCCCUUGAAAUCUGAGCCACAGUAGAUUCAGUUACAAAUGACUAUUUCACCCUCCUGCAGAAAGCACGCUAAAUUUUAUUAAUAGUUUAUGAAGCAACUGUACUCAAUCUGCUGAGCUCAAAACAUUGGGUUAUUAUCUUUUUUUCCAAUUGUAUUAAUUAUCUAAGCCACUAAAUGCCAUAUGAAACGUGGAUCCAUUAAGGUUCAUAUUUUGGUAUAGUUGUACAGUAUUAAACCACCUUGUUUCUAACGGUCAAAUACAGCCAGAAUGAAAUGUACAGUUGUUUGGUGUUCAGAUAGAACAUCCAAACAAGACUGUAUACUACAACGGUUGGCACACACAAACGAAAGGUUCUGCAUUGAUGGCAUUCAGGUACAUUAAUUGUUGAAUAUUAAGUGCAUAUGUAAAAGGCAUACUCCUUGGUUCACUGCCAGCUUCCCCGAACUUCUUUGAUCUUAUUAGGUUCUUCGGCACAUGAAUAUUAAGUUCAUUAGUACAAAAAAAUUGCACCUUCAUGAAAUGUGUUCCUUUUUCGUCAUCCAUAGAUCCCUAGGGCGUGGCUACACUUGUGCAAAAUGAAAACAUGCAUGACGGGUACAAAAAUAACUUGGUGGGUGACCAGGAAAUGUAGAAUGCAAGGAAUACAAAUUCUUGAUAGUUCAACACCAUCCACUUAACUAAAAGCCCGACAUUUAAAUCUACUGCUUACUUGACACUACUAGCAUUGAAGCAUUUCUUAAGAAGACGAAUGAUGCCGGUCCUAAGACUCACACUAAUGAUAAGGUUGCAAAUAUAACUAAAGGAAGGUACUUUCCUGGUUUGCUAACCCAUUUGUUCCCACUUAAUCUGAACCAACUAUUCAUUUCCCAACCCAAGCAGCCCCGAUUGCGAUCAUGGCUGCCACUGGCACGGUGGACGCGAGUGCAAGUUGUAGCACCUUGUUCAUCGUCCUGAGGUUCCUGAUCUCCCUGUUCCUAUCAGCCAUUUCCUCGAUGAACUCGUCUCGGUCUUCUGUCACCUCCCGCAGCUUCACUCGUUCAGCUUGGAUUCUCUUUUGCAUGUAUUCCUCCAGUACAUCCUCCCACACGUAGACCUCGCACGCUCUCCUCUGAACCUGUACAUAAAAAUCAAGAAACAAGAGCAAAAGAAUCUUUAGCUAGUGCAGGUACUGAACUGAAUCUGCUACAUUUUGUAUUAUCUAUAUAUUCUUACCCCAUAGUUCACGCAGCUGAAGUAGAACUUGUCCUGCCUCGCCACCGCAGAUCCAGCUUUCCUGGCGCAUGGCAUGCCGCAUGCACAUCGAAGUAUCGGAUUUCCAGUCGACAUGUUCUUGCAGAAGAAGUGUUUGUUCUUGCAGAAGAAGUGUUGUGCCGAUUCAUGUUCCAUUCCACUCGUAUGUAUAGACCUUGAAUUUAUUGUAUGCAGCUGUCUACAACCAACCAUAGUACGCAUGCUUUCGGCGCUACUGAAGGGGGCAGUGUCCGGGUCGUGCCCAUACGGUGUGCCGAUCGAACAAUAAAGUUGUGAGGUCAAAUCGACCUUAUCUCUAUUGCAUCGUUGUUUGAGAGGAGUGCAUGGUCGACUGGUCAUUUUGACUCACCCGUGAGCUGUGCAACACUCUGGAUAGUAGGGCAUGGGCGACAUGGCGUUGUACCACUCCUCCCUAAUUGAUGCAUGUUUUCUGUUAUUUUAAUACGUCCACUUUCCCUCCUCAUCUACUCCACGGCAUACACUCCCUCUUCACAUGAAUUGGUUAAUCAACAAUUCUCCAUUGGGAGAGCCUUAAACUCGUCAUUGGUAUCUCAGAGUCAGUUUGCCCCAUUUUCAUAUCAACACUGGAAAAAAAACUAUUUUCCUUAACCGUGUAUCCCACUGAGAAACAAGUCAAAAAAACUGCAUUAUCGUUCGGAUAACGCCUCCCUUGGAUCCCUCCUGCCCAGCUCCCACCUACAUGUCAAAUCAACUUAAACUGCUGCCCUGCUUGAACUCUCUAUACGCUAGUACCUCAAAGUUGUAUAUAACUCAACCAUCCCUACCUCGUUCUCCUACACACCAACGUCAUGGAUCACAAUGCCGACGAGACGGAUGCUCUGUUCACCGGCGAAGCCAUGAUUGUUCCCCCCGCACGCUCAACUGCCACUACCGUCAUCCCCGUGAGUAUUGCCACCGGCCUUUGCUUUCAAACUGGCAUUGCAGAAAUCAUUGAUAUUUUGUUAAACCAUAUUAAAUGUAUAGGCUCAUCCAUCCACUCUCAGGCCUAUGACAAUUAAGCAGUUGUAUGAUGGAUUCCUGGAGGACAUAGAGCGUUACCCUAUCGUAGUUGACGGAGACACCGUGUCAUCAGUGAGUCUAUAUAUAAAAUCAUUUAGAUUUUCAAAAACCAUCCACUAGCUGUUCUUAAUAUAUGUCUUCAUUUGAUAGGUGAUCCUGAUAGGAACUGUUUCACACUCUACUGUUCGAAUGAAUCACUGGUCCUUCGAUCUACAGGAUGCCACAGGGUUAAUCAACAUAUCUUUCUGGUACUAAUUUCAUCGUCAGUAAACUCCUUGUAUCCAAAGAACUUCAGAAACAAUGCAUUUAACCUUUUGCUCCAUUUUUUUUGUUCUUCUGUCAGGCCGGAAACAACUUCCGACUUUAAACUUGCUUGGUCAUCAAGGUCUGAUUUAUGUAUUAAGAUAAAAAUAAUAAUUUGCAGUCCUAGUUUUUCAACUAGUUGGUCAACAAGCCCACUGUUUCAAUUGUUACAUCUUAUUUGCAGCAAUGGCGACUAUGUUCAACUAUUUGGCAAACCUGCCAUGAAUGACAGAUUCCUUUAGAUUAAAGCUUUCAAGAUCAGGUUAUUUUAAACCGCAUCUUUUUUCUGUGUCAUAAAUUUUUCACAUAUAACAUUCUUUUUUACACAUAGCCAUACAUUUUAAAAAUAUUGCAGGUUAAUCGAAAACUACAAUGACACCACGCACCACUACUUGUAUACCAUACACACCACAUUAGACAUUCGUAAGAGAAACACCCACAAGGUAAUUCUUCGUGUUUUUUGUAAAAUGUACCUAAAUGAUACAUACAUUCUUUCUCACAUACAUUACCUCUCAUAGGCAAGAAUGGAACCUGACUCCACAGCAUCAACUGUUUUCCCAAAGGGGCCGUCAAUUACCCCGUCGGAGGUGCCCUUGCAUUCGUCAACAAAGGACAAGAUAUUUGCCAUCCUGCGAGACCCAGCUUACCGGUAAGUACUGUAUGGCUGGUACAUAAAGUUCUUUGAUUAUUACGAAAGCUAAAUGCAAUAUCCUGAACUAAGUUCCUUUGACCAUUAAACAUGUAUAUCCACAAAUCUCACAAAUAACAUAUAGGUCCUCGUGCCAUGCAGGACCAACAGUUAAAACAUAAAGUUCCAUGAUCCAUCCAAAGGAUAACUCCAUUUUUUUCUCUCAUUUGCCCUAACACAGCGAUAUUCAGCAUGGCGUUAGCUUGAAGUUAAUCCGUAGUGCACUGGACAUCAGCCAGGACGAGAUAAUGUAAGACAUCACAUCAUUAAAUUCAUUUAGCCUAUUUCCUUAUUCAACUUAUAGUUGACACAUUUUCCAAUUACAACUUGGCAUAAUUAACCAGGCAAGUCAUUACAGAGCAAAUCUACAUUGGGAUGAUAUACACAACUGUUGAUGACAACCACUUCAAGUCCUCCAUCUGAAUUGGUCAAUUAUCCCUGUGUUAAUUAUUAGAGCUAAAUAAUGUACUUGAGUGUCAGACAUUUAUGGUUAAGCCAUUAUGUGGAUUUUCAGUUAGACCUAUCAUGAUUGUAAUAUUUAUUUCAUCACUUUAGCAAUUCUCUCAGUUAUUUUAUUAUGUGGUUUCCCUUUCCCAAUUCUCUCGGUUAUUUUAUUAUAUGUGGUGUCCCACAUCAACACUUUAUUAUCUGGUGUGCCAUAUCAACACCUUUUUCCUGGCGCACCUGCUGGAUAGGUGCCAGUGUGCCACCCUUACACCCCAUACCACUCUUCUUCCCCAAACUAACAUCUGUCGUUCUCUAUCCACCAUGGACAUUGACCAGAUAGAUUUUUCAUCUAGCUUAGAUAACAAUAUUUUGAGUGAGAUUUUCAUCAGGCUAGGAUGCACUAGAUCCCUUGUUCGUAGUUCUGUAGUGAGUCCUAGAUGGUUUGAGAUCUGUACCUCCCAGCAGUUCAUCAUGGAGUAUGCUCGCCGCAAUGCUCCAGCCGUCCUCGGAUUCAUUGCUGCAUUCGAGCGCCUCUUCGAGCUGCACGUACGUCUUGUGGAUGUCGUUGCUUCCCCUCCUGAUCCAGGACAAGCUGCUCUGCUUGCUAGGGUUGACGUGGCAACCUUUGCCAUGGAGAACAUCCUUGCAUCUGAAGCAGGUGAGUUGCUCGUCUUGGUCAGAGGUCUCGACGGCGGGUUCUUCUCUGUCUGUCCAAAUCCUCCAUUUUCUCGGUCAUUCUUAGCCCCUAGAAUGCCUAGAGUCCCCCUGUUCCAACAUCAGCACACCCCUAAUUUAUAUGGUCAAUUUGGUGUCAUUCUCAUUGACAGCAGGCCUAAUUUUUCGUUCUUCGUUAAGCAAGCAGCAGGCCCUUUUGUCCGUUCUUAUUCUGGUUUGAGUUUCAGUUCAGUUGCUGACCUAUAUGUCCAUGUUUGCAUCCUAAAAAACAACGAAUGGUCACGCUUUGUUUCCCCACCGCUUCGAACUCCUCCUGGUAAUGAUGGACCAUUGUUCCAUUGGGAUCCAUACUAUCUCCUAGUUGGUUCCAAUCUAUACAUGAUGUAUGUGGUAGGAUUUGUGGUUUGCUUCAACAUAGAUACUUUUGUCUUCUCCACUGUCCAGUUCCCUGUAAGUGUCACUUCCUGCUUUGAUUACCACAUCUCUAGGAGCAGUUCAGGUAUCAUAUCAUUUGUUCACAGUGACAAUCUAUCACUUCGCACAUGGAGAUUAUCAUCACGAGAGCAUGAAGAAACAGCAUGGUUUCCUAUGUCAGAGAUAAACCUUGCAUCAUCCUUUGGAAGCCGAUGUCAGCAUCCCAUGUGGCGUCAAUUAUUCCUUGGAGUUGAUUUAGACGAUGGCAUUCAUUCUAUGCAAAUCAGGUCAUCUAGCAUAGAUUUGUCCUUUGUCUUCCUGAAAUUCAGCUUUCAUCAUGCAAUUUUCAUUUUGCAGCAACUCAAGCGGCAACGUACAUGAGGUGCAGUACCUUGAUGAAGAUGGCGCUCUAAGGUCUAUUGUUUCUCUUACAGAGCAUUGGCCACCAGUGGUUAAUAUGCCUAAUCAUGAUGCACCAUAGAGAUAAACAUGGCAAUGGCCGUGACACUUGUGUAUCUUCCUAUUCAAAUUUAUCUUUAAGUACUGUCCAAUGUAAUAUCUUAUUAUGUUCCUGGUUUGUAAUCUCCGAAUACUAUUCGACUUAGUAAUCCCUAUGUAUUUUUAGUCUUUGCUUUCCUAUACAUAAUCCAUUUAGCGAGAAGAAUCAUUUUCAAGCUCAUUUUGUUGCACCACGUAUUUAAAUGUAUUGAGCAUUUGUUCCGAACUUUGAAUAGGAAAAAACUGACUAUUAUGUUGAUCCACUUAUGAUAUUUAUUUCUGUUGAAAUAUUUUCGGUGUGAAGAUAUAACGAUGUAGAACAGAAAGACUUGUGGAGUAUGCCAGUCCAAUGUUUUUUUGGAGCUUGACAUAAUAUAUCAAUUGCUGAAGUCCCGAACUACUUUUUGAAUUUAUUUGUGAUUCCGCUAAACAUUUAAACACUAAAUUUUAAGGGCCUAGCAAUGCGGUACAGUUAUCCCACAUAAACCGCUCAAGCCAAUUCAGCGAUAUAUAAAUUAAGUGUGUCACGCGUUUUAUCAAAGCACUUGGAUUCUUUGUGAAUGAUUGUGAAGUUCAUUAGUUUCGACCUCUCAGGGGCGGAACACGCAUGAAUAAGUUUUUCUAUCCUAAGCGAUGAAGUGUGGUACACUUUUUAACAAAGUACUCAGAUAGUUAUGGAUGAUCUUAAAGUCCUUUCCAUUCGUCCUAUGAAGUGCGCAAUGUGCAUGAAUAACUUUUUGUAUUCUAAGUGUUUAGAAUAUUUCCUAAGACAUUUUGAAACCUAUACCUCAAGUGUGCCACACUCCAUUAGUUUCAUAUCAUUCCUCACACUCCAGGGCAAUUUUCCUAGAGUUAUUGAAUCGAUUUUAAUGAUGUUAGGGUGAUUCCCAAUCGAGGUCUGAAUUUUGGGCCUUUCAUUAAUAAAAAUGUGAUAGGUCCUUCGCGCAGUGUACCUUAUGUCCACACACCGCUUUAUAUGGUUUUAGAAAAUUAAUGAUGUUUUUUAAGGGCAUCCGCACCCAAUAGCCAUGAAUGGCUCGUUUCGUAUACAUUAAUCGCGCCUCGCAGUUUAGCAAAGUACUGACAUUGUUAUUGAGCCCUGUAAAGUUCUUUCAGGUCGACUUCUCAAGUGAGGAACCUGCAUUAACAACUUUUCCAGCAGAAAAGGUUGAAAUAAAGUCGACAAGCCCUUCGUGUCGAAUUAAUUAAUUGCACCACAUGCCUUUUAACAAAGUGCACAAUUUGCUACGGAUGAUCUAUCAAGUGUUGGGAAACGUUGCAUGUAAAACAAAAAAAAUCCUACUCACAGGCAAGAUCCAUCCAUGGAGAGUUGGUGAGCAUUUUCACACCCUUGAAGACCGCUAAGUAAAAGUGUUUAUUAACGCGGUUCAUGUAGUCAUACAUUAUCACGAUCCUUCCCUAUAAAAUUCCGAACACACGACACCUCUGUGUGCUGCAAACGUUCAUCUCAAUGACGUCCUCUCCUUCUUCACUGGGAAAUUAGUAGAUUUGUCCCGCAGCAAUACAGAAACUAGACGGGUGAUAUACUAGAUGGCACGGGAUUCCUUGGUUAAUAUUGAUGUGUCUUAUGUGCUAUUCCUGCCCCUAUAUUUAUAAGUUCAGCCCUGGUGGUGCCGGGGCUUGGAGUAAAAGCCUCAUCAAAGUGGCUUUUACAUGAAAGGCAGGAUUCAUUCUCUUACUGCGGGACCAGACGCCAUGGUUCCCGUUGUCUGGACCCAGACGCCACGGACCGAGGGGAUUGGCCACUUGACCCAAAGAAAGUGUUCUCGUGCCCAAACACUUAGGGAGACAUCUUAAACACCUUUGAUAUCAAACACUAUUAUCAGCUAUAUUAAUCUUUACCUCCUGAAUAUUCCGUAGUUCCUCAUCAUGACCGUGAUGUCAUCCAGAACUCCGAACAAAAUUUGUUCACCAACAUAGAUAACUCAUAUAAGACUAUAUCUUGAACAAAUGUUAAUCGUGCGGCCCCAUACGGGUUUGAACGCCACGUAGACAUUACCGAUACGCCUAUCAGUUCAAUAACAAGUAGCCGAACAUGGAUGACAACAUAUGUAAUUUCCAUUGCUAUCUUAAUUGCUCGAGAUUCGAUCGUUGGUAUCUUCAUACCUAGUUCAAACUCGUCACCGGCAAGUCUCUUUACUCGUUCUAUAAUACAUCAUCUCGUAAUUAACCCGUUAGUCACUUUGCUUGCAAGCUCCUUCUUCUGGUGUAUUACGAAGAUGGCACAACGAUACCUCUUCUUCACACGGAGUGACAAAAUCCAGACUCGACAAAUGCAAACCCAACAGACACAUUUGGAGAUACAUGUAGAGCAUCUUAAUAGUCACCGAGUUAGGCUGUGACGUUUGUUAGCACACAAGAUAUUCCUCCGGUAUUCAGGAGUUGCAUGAUCUCAUGGUCAAAGAAACAUGUAUAUGACAUUAAGAAUGAAGUAGCAAUAAACUAAACAAUCUAACGCUAUGCUAAUGGGUGAGUCUUCAUCAUCAGAUCAUCCUCCUUAUCAUAUGAAUGACCUGACCUCGUUAUCAAAUGACAACUCAUGUCUAUUGUUAGUAAAACAUCAACCAUCUUUUAUCAACUAGCUAGUCAGUUAGAAGCUCACUAUGUACACGGGAUUUGGUUAUGUAUCCAAACAUGUGUUCAAGAUUUCGGUCAAUACGAUUCUAGCAUGAAUAAAAAACCUUUCAUCAUGAUUAAGGAAAUAUAAUAAUGACAAUUUUAUUACCGCCUCUAGGGAAUAUUUCCAGCUGUCUCCCACUUUCAAAUCUAAUUAAUAUAAUAAUAAGGAAUAUAAUAAGGAAAUAUUAAUGCCCGUAGUUCCCAUCAACAUAUGACCAAUACCCAAAAGAGUUUACUAGAGUAAAAAAUCUAAUUCACAUCGCCCACCUAAAUAUUUCUAAGGUGUGAUCAUAUUUUGCUUGUGAAAGAUAGUUUUAGUCAACGGGUCUGAGACAUCUAGUCCCAUUUGUACUUUGCAAGAAUCUAUGUUUACAAUGCUCUGGAUAAGGCUACUUUAGCUAAUUGCCCCUACAUUUAUUACGUUUCCAUACUAAGACCCAAAGUGAUAUUUAUUGGUGACAAAGCUGUCAUCGACUUAACCCUUUAAGACGAACUAUUUAUCACCUCCAUAGCAGAGAAACAUCUCGUUUUUUCUUUUAGCAUAAUUUGUUGAGCGAUCUCCAGUUAUCCACCCCUGGAGCACUCUUGUAUCCCCUUGCCAGACACGUGGCAAGGCACACUUCUGGUCUGGUACACAGCAUGUCAUGUUUUAUACUCCCUCUGUCCGGUAAUACUUGUCGGAGAAAUGCAUAAAAAUGAAUGUAUCUAGAACUAAAAUACAUCUAGAUACAUCCAUUCCUCCUACCAGUGUUUCCGGACGGAGGGAGUAGAACCUAUGGAUGUGGCAGAGGGAAUCACUUUCACUAUCUCUCUAUUUUUAUGUUGUGGUUGGUCUUUGCGUCUUACUCAAUUUCACACCUUAGAACUCAGGCAAGAACUACCGAGGUCUCAAGCAGCGUUCAUUUUGAGCUCGUUCAAAAUCAUGUCAAUAUAUGUGCUCUGUGAAAGAAUUAUCAGGCGUCUUGAUAUAUCCCAAUACAUAAGUAGAUCUACCGAGGUCUUUCAUUCAAAAAGGUCUGUUAGAACAACUCUUUAUGCUUUGCAGAAAAUUAUAAUUCAGUCCUGAUAAACAAGUAUGUCAUCCACAUAUACUUCAGGAAUUGCUGUAGUGAUACCACCCAAUUUUAACAUAGGUACAGACUUCACCAUAAGUAUGUAAUAGAACAAUAUGCUUUAUGUAUAGAACAAUAUGCUUUGAUCACCUCAUCAAAGCGUAUAUUAUAUCUCAGUGAUUCUUCCACAAGACCAACAAUGGAUCGCUGAACUUGCAGAAUUACGGUGAAUCAUAUACUUUACACGUGUUCACUUGUACCCUUCGAUGAUGGUAUACUACUUAUGCGCUUACAUAUGUGUGAGCGGAGCUACAGAUUGAUCGAGUAUGAGUCCAAGAUGAAGAGAGCAACUCCACAAUCCAAGAGGUAUGCUUGGAAGCGAAGAAUGAACUGUCAAGAAGAAGGCGAGGUUCAAGCAGCACCGAUGGUAGUCCGCAAGAAGCCACGGUACAAGCCCAUGCACAUGGCCGAAUUCGUCAGUGCGCUUGAUACCGCGACCACACAUGCUUAGGUUACCCGGUUCACAAGGGCUGCCUCUAUGGAGCUGUUUGGAUUUUCCCACGUAAUCCCAAUUCUCCACUCCUUAACCGUUAGUCCCAUGGAUGUAUAAAUAGUCCUCCCCAUUCAGCAAUAGCCAAUAAUAGAUCUAAACAUUUGAGCUUAGAUCAUGUAUCUCCCUUUAUGGGAUUCAUCUUGAGAAAGAGAAGACUCCAUUGGAGUACAAGACCUCCACUUGUGGAGAAGCAUUGCCCAAUUGAAUCAUCAAGACCUCAUCUCCUAUGGGAUUUGGGAAGAACUCUACCUUGUAUCUUUCCAUUUGAUUGUUCAUGUAUCUUGUGGAUCUUGUGUGUUUGUUAGUCUAGUGGAUGUUUGAUUGAACUUGUUAUUGAGUGUUUCUCUUGUGUUUUCAUCUCUUGUUCUUGAUGGAAAAAUGCCCUAGAGGGAAUAACAAAGUUGAUAUUAUUGUAAUUCCUUAAUCAUCAUAAGGGAUUAAUAUUAAUUCCAGGAUUGUAUUGACCAGAAAUUUGAAUAUAUGUGUGAAUACAUAAACAAAUACUGUGUCCCUAGCGGGCCUCUACAAGGUUAUCUUGUUUCAAACAUAAAUGAUGAUGUUUUUUGUUAGGUCCUUUCUGAAACAUAAAUAUUCAAGUGUCGUCCUAACCGAAGUUGAGAAGUUCUUAGUGGCUUACGCAUUAAGUGCGCCUCCCUCUUUGUAGAAAGUACUACAUAAUGGUAUGAAUGGCGGUAAAGUUCUUUCCGGUUGUCAUCACAAGUGCGCAACGUUCAUUGAGAACAUUUCAAUCCGAACUGACAAAGAGGUGAAUAAGCACUUCGUGUCAUAUUAUUAAGUGCACCACAUGCCUUGGCGGAGUACUAAUGAACUUGUGUAUGCUCGAGAAAUUUGUCUAUGUAUAACAUAUGAAGUGCAGAGCAUGCAUGAAUAACCUCUCCUACCCUAAGUGAAAAUUUCAUUUGCUAAACCCUAUAUAAAGUGCGGAAUAUGAAUAAGCACUGUGCGUCAUAUAAUUAAGUGCACCACAUGCAUUAGCGAAGUACUCAAGAAGUCGCGUACGUUCGUGAAAAGGUCUAUAUGUUUGACAUAUAAAGUGCGGAAGGUAGAUGUAUAAAGUAUCUCACUCAGGCGACGGAGUUCACAUGACCUCGAAGUACUCAAGAAGCUUUGUACGCUCAUGAAAAUUUCUAUAUGUUUGACAUAUAAAGUGCGGAAGGUAGAUGGAUAAAGUGUCUCUAUCAGGCUAUGGAGUUCACAUGACCUCAAAUGCGCCACAUGUAUUUGUAAAAGUUCCGUGGAAUAUUAUGGAAAACGGUGUUUUCAUUUCUGGUCGACCUCUAAGUGCGGAAGAAUUCAAAGAUAAUUUUUUAUUAAUUAAGCCCUACGUGUGCUCCAAGUUAAGUGCGCCUUUCUUUCUGGUAAAGUAUUGAGAUUCAUAUAAAUGACGUUUCAGACAUAAAUGGCGACACUCUUUGGUUAGUCCUUCCUGGUCGACAUAUAAGUGCGAAAUUAUGCAUGAAUAAGAUUUUCAUUAAGCCCCACAUGUUGUCUAACUUAAGUGCGGCAUUCCUUCUAUUAAAAUACUAAGAUUCAUAUGGACAUUGUUAAAUUCCUUUCUGUUUGGCAACUCGAGUGUGGAACGUGCGUGAAUGAUGUUUCAAACAUAAAUGAUGAGGUUCUUUGCUAAGACCUUCUUGAAACCUAAAGAUUCUAGUGUCGUCCUAACCGUAGUUGAGAAAUUUUUAGUGACUUAUACAUUAAGUGCGCCUCCCUCUUCGUGAAAAGUACUAAGAAAGGUAGGACGGGCGGUAAAGUUCUUUCCGGUUGGCAUCUCAAGUGCAGAACGUUCAUUGACAACGUUUCAAUCCAAAAUGACAAAAAAUUGAUUCAGCACUUCAUGUCAUGUAAUUAAGUGCACCGCAUGCCUUAGCGGAAUACUUAAGAAAAUGUGUAUCCUCGAAAAAGUUCUCCAUCUAUGACAUAUGAAGUGCGCAGCAUGCAUGAAUAACUUCUCCUACCCUAAGUGGAAAAUUCAUUCGCUAAGUCCUUUAUAAAGUGUUGAACGUGAAUAAGCAGUGCGUGUCAUAUAAUUAAGUGCAAUACAUGCAUCAGCGAAGUACUCAAUAAGUUGUGUACGCUCGAGAUAGUUCUAUAUGUUUGACAUAUAAAGUGCGGGAGGCAGAUGGAUAAAGUGUAUCUCUCAGGCGAUUGUAUCUCUCAGGCGAUUGAUUUCACACGCAUGAGUGUAAGUUCCUUGUAAUAUUAUGCAAUACGGUAUUUUCAUUUAUGAUGGAACUCUAAGUGCGGAAGAAUGCACGGAUAACUUUUCCACUAAGCAUUACGUGUGUUCCACAUUAAGUGCGUCAUUCCUUCUAGUAAAGUACCGAGAUUCAUAUAGAUGUUGUUAAAGUUCUUUCUGUUCAGCAAAUCAAUUGCGAAACAUGCGUGAAUGACGUUUCAAACAUAGAUGAUGAGGUCCUUUGAUACCGCCUUUCUGGUCGACCUCUAAGUGCGACAUAUGCACAAAUAAGUUUUACAUUAAGCCCUACUUGUCGUCUAACUUAUGUGCACCAUUCCUUCCAGUAAAGUCAUAAGAUUUGUAUGGACGUUGCUAAAGUUCUUUCUCUUCGGCAACUCGGGUGCGAAUGUGCGUAUUAUGUUUCAAACAUAAAUGAUGAUGUUCUUUGCUAAGUCUUUUUUUGAAACCAAAAAGUUCAAGUGUUGUCCUAACCAAAAUUGAGAAGUUAUUAGUGGUCUAUAAAUUAAGUGUGCCUCCCUCUUUGUGGAAAAAACUAAAACAUGGUAUGAAUGGCGGUAAAGUUCUUUCCGGUUGGCAUCAAAAGUGCACAAUGUUUAUUGACAAUGUUUCAAUCCGAACUAACAAAGAGGUGAAUAAGCACUUCGUGUUAUAUAAUUAAGUGCACCACAAGCCUUGGCGGAGUAGUCAACAACUUGUGUACGCUCGAAAAAGUUCUCUGUGCAUAACAUAUGAAGUGCAGAGCGUGCAUGAAUAACUUCUCCUACCCUAAGUGGAAAAUUCAUUUGCUAAGCCCUUUAUAAAGUGCGGAGUGUGAAUAAGCGAUGUGUGUCAUAUAAUUAAGUGCACCACAUGCAUUAGCGAAGUACUCAAGAAGUCGCGUACGUUCAUGAAAACUUCUAUAUGUUUGACAUAUAAAGUGCGGAAGGUAGAUGUAUAAAGUGUCUCUUUCAGGCGAUGGAGUUCACAUGACCUCGAAAUACUCAAGAAGUUUCGUACGGUCGCGAAAAUUUCUAUAUUUUUGACAUAUAAAGUGCGGAAGGUAGAUGUAUAAAGUGUCUCUCUCAGGCGAUGGAGUUCACAUGACCUCAAAUGCGCCACACGCAGUUGUAAAAGUUCCUUGGAAUAUUAUGCAGUACGGUGUUUUCAUUUCUGGUCGACCUCUAAGUGCGGAAGAAUGCACAUAUAACUUUUCAAUUAACUAAGUCCAAUGUGUGCUCCAAAUUAAGUGCGUCAUUUUUUCUGGUAAAAUACUAAGAUUCAUAUGAAUGAUGUUUCAAUUAUAAAUGGUGAGGUUCUUUGGAUAGUCCUUCCUGGUCGACGUAUAAGUGCGAAAUUAUGUACGAAUAGGUUUUACAUUAAGCCCUACAUGUCGUCUAAUUUAAGUGCGACAUUCCUUCUAUUAAAGUACUAAGAUUCAUAUGGACAUUAUUAAAUUCCUUUCUGUUUGGCAACUCGGGUGUGGAACGUGCGUGAAUGAUGUUUCAAACAUAAAUGAUGAUGUUCUUUGCUAAGUCAUUUUUGAAACCUAAAGAUUGUAGUGUCGUCCUAACCGUAGUUGAGAAGUUCUUAGUGACUUAAACAUUAAGUGCGUCUCCCCUCUUUGAAAGUUAUUAAAACCAUCGUAGGAAGGGCAGUAAAGUUUUUUCUGAUUGGCAUCUCAAGUGCAGAACGUUCAUUGACAAUGUUUCAAUCCUAAAUGACAAAAAAUUGAUUCAACACCUUAUGUCAUAUAAUUAAGUGCACCACAUGUCUUAGCGUAGUACUCAAGAAAAUGUGUACGCUCGAAAAACUUCUCUAUGUAUGACAUAUAAAGUGGGCAACGUGCAUGAAUAACUUCUCCUACCAUAAGUGGAAAAUUCAUUCACUAAGCCCUUUAUAAAGUACGGAACGUGAGUAAGCAGUGUGUGUCAUACAAAUAAGUGCACCACAUGCAUCAGCGAAGUACUCAAUAAGUUGUGUACGCUCGAGAAAGUUCUUUAUGUUUGACAUAUAAAGUGCGGAAGGCAGAUGGAUAAAGUGUAUCUCUCAGGCCAUGGAUUUCACAUGACCUCAAAUGCGCCAUACACAUUAGUGAAGGUUCCUUAUAAUAUUAUGAAUUACGGUAUUUUCAUUUCGGGUGCAAACGUGCAUGAAUUAUGUUUCAAACAUAAAUAUGAGGUUCUUUGCUAAGUCUUUUUUUGAAACCUAAAAGUUCAAGUGUCGUCCUAACCAAAGUUGAUAAGUUAUUAGCGGUCUAUACAUUAAGUGUGCCUCCCUCUUCGUGGAAAGUACUAAAACAUGGUAUGAAUGGUGGUAAAGUUCUUUUCGGUUGGCAUCAAAAGUGCACAAUGUUUAUUGACAAUGUUUCAAUCCGAACUAACAAAGAGGUGAAUAAGCACUUCGUGUCAUAUAAUUAAGUGCACCACAUGCCUUGGCGGAGUAGUCAAGAACUUGUGUACGCUCGAAAAAGUUCUCUGUGUACAACAUAUGAAGUGCAGAGCGUGCAUCAAUAACUUCUCCUACCCUAAGUGCAAAAUUCAUUUGCUAAGCCCUUUAUAAAGUGCGAAAAGUGAAUAAGCGAUGUGUGUCAUAUAAUUAAGUGCACCACAUGCAUUAACGAAGUACUCAAGAAGUCGCGUACGUUCGUGAAAAUUUUUAUAUGUUUGGCAUAUAAAGUGCGGAAUGUAGAUGUAUAAAGUGUCUCUUUCAGGCGAUGGAGUUCACAUGACCUCGAAGUACUCAAGAAGUUUCGUACGCUCGUGAAAAUUUCUAUAUUUUUGACAUAUAAAGUGCGGAAGGUAGAUGUAUAAAGUGUCUCUCUCAGGCGAUGGAGUUCACAUGACCUCAAAUGCGCCACACGCAUUUGUAAAAGUUCCUUGGAAUAUUAUGGUGCACCACAUGCAUUAGCAAAGUACGCAAGAAGUUAUGUACGCUCGGGAUAGUUCUAUAGGUUUGACAUAUAAAGUGUGAAAGCUAGAUGGAUAAAGUUUCUCUAUCAGGCGAUGGAUUUUGCAUGACGUCAAAUGCGCAACACGCAAUUGUAAAAGUUCCUUGGAAUAUUAUGGAAUACGGUAUUUUCAGUUCUGGUCGACCUCUAAGUGCGCAAGAAUGCACAGACAACUUAUUAAGCCCUACGUGUGCUCCAAAUUAAGUGCGUCAUUCUUUAUAGUAAAGUACUGAGAUUCGUAUGGAUGUUGUUAAAGUUAUUUCUGUUUUGCAACUCGAGUGCAACAUAAAUGAUGAGGUUCUUUGGUAAGUCCUCCCUGGUCGACCUCUAAGUGCAAAGUCAUGCACUAAUAAGUUUAGAUUAAGCACUACGUGUUGUCUAACUUAAGUACGUCAUUCCUCCUAGUAAAUAACUAAGAUUCAUAUGGACGUUGUUAAAGUUUUGUAUGUUCGGCAACUCGGGCGCGGAACGUCCGUGAAUGAUGUUUCAAACAUAAAUAUUGAGGUUCUUUUCUAAGUCCUUUUUGAAACCUAAAAAUUCUAUUGUCGUCCCAACCGACGUUGAGAAGUUCUUAGUGAAUUAUACAUUAGGUGUGCCUCCCUCUUCGUGAACAGUACUACAAAAAAUGGUAUGAAGGGCAGUAAAGUUCUUUCGGGUUGGCAUCUCAAGUGCACAACGUUCAUUGACAAUGUUUCAAUCCGAAAUGACAAAAAGGUGAAUAAGCACUUCGUGUCAUUUAAUUAAGUGCACCACAUGCAUUAGCGUAGUACUCAAGAUCAUGUGUACGCACGAAAAAGUUCUCUAUGUAUGACAUAUGAAGUGUGUAGCGGCCAUGAAUAACUUCUCCUACCCUAAGUGAAAAUUUUCAUUUGCUAAGCCGUAUAUAAAAUGCGAAACGUGAAUAAGCACUGCGUGUCAUAUAAUUAAGUGCACCACAUGCAUUAGCGAAGUACUCAAGAAAAUUCUAUACAUUUGACAUAUAAAGUGCAGAAGGUAGAUGGAUAAAGUGCCUCUAUCAGGAGAUUGAUUUCGCAUGACCUUAAAUGCGCCACAUGCAUUUGUAAAAGUUCCUUUGAAUAUUAUGGAACAUGAUAUUUUCGCUUCAGGUCGACCUCUAAGUGCAGAAAAAUUCACGGAUAACGAGUCCAUUAAGCUCUAUGUGUGCUCCAAAUUAAGUGCGCCAACAUAGUAGUAGUAUAGCUUGUUGGAGUAAAACAUGUACUUUUGAUUUUAUUUAUCAAAAAUCCUAGUUCAUCGCAUGGUUUUGUUAUCAUAACUCUGUUUCAUCAAGUUUUAUUCUGAAAGUGAUAUGAGAUUUUAGCCAAGCUGUUUUUAAAUUUUUGAGCAGGCAUGUAAUUCAGGCAAUAGAUGAGCUCCCAGCCUCCUUAGACUGGCAUGGGCACAUCAAUAAGGGCAUGGAGCCCAUCAAAGAGGAGGUCGGAGCGGCGUUGGACCUGGAUCAACUCAUCUAAAUCAAGCGGCCAGCUACGGCUGGGAGUCCCCAACGCUCCACCUGGACGGCGUCGGCUGGGAGCUGCAACAGCUCCACAUGCAAUGGCUGGCCAGGGACCAGACCUCGACAGGAACGUGUUGCCCUUUGAGCCGGUGCAGAGCGACAAGUUCAUAGCAUCGUUAUAGUUUUUUGCACAAAGAUAGACCCUGUAGUACUACUGAUCAGGUGAAACACAUCGACGUGGCACUGGUACUGAACUGAAGCAACGAUUUGUUCAACAAAAUAUGAUCCAAAUAGAAAAUGAGUGGGCAUAUUAGUUUCUAUAACAAGGAAUCGUCGCCGGUUUUGUGCCAUUCAUGUGUUUUUUCCUAUAUAUAGGAUUGCUCUUUCGUUUUGGUUUGUCAAGAUUUGAAAUGGUUGUGGUGGUUAAUAUCUCUGUAGGUGUUCUUUGACCUCGAGAAUGGCAACCAGGAGCUCAAGAGCGACGUCAAGGACCUCUACAUCAACCUCGGGCAAGUAAAGACAUGUUUGAAGUGGAAAUGUAUCCAUUACAGUUAGUUGUUGUUGUCAACGAUUUUUUUGGAGAAGAACUAAUAGUAUGAUAGUGAAGUAAUCUAAUUCAAUUUCCUUUUUCAUUGCAACCACUUAAUUUCAAUCGGGUCAAAAUAAAAAAUCAAAGACAAAAUUUUUCAGCCAUAAGUAGAACACCGGAGCUAAUUGAUACACCAUUUUGAAAAUUGAUACACUGUUGCAGGGAGAGCAGCACACGCAGCGGUGGUCAAGGGCUUAGUACCUGUUGACCUCGUCCGUGGUCGCUGUUGGUCGGUGAAGGAGGCAUGCAUGAGGUGGUGCAAGGGCAUGCUGGUGACGGAGUCGCGCAUCAUGAGGCCGGGUGAGUAACGCUCGGGAACUGCCGGGCGCUCAGACUGACGCGGGAUUGGGUUGGCGCGGUGACUCAAGGAGGAGGAUGUAGUUAUGGGGGAGGGAGUGACGACGGAGGGGCUUCGAUGGCCCAACGAGACCCUACAUCAUAAUCAAGGAGGACCCUACAUCUAAAGAAAAUAGAGCAGUCUAUAUCAUUAGUCUAUUACUGGAUUUCUAGAAGAAGGAAAAAGGGAGAAAUGGUUGUUUCUGCUACUCUACAUUUGCUUUAAAAUUGGUGUACAUAUAUCAAGAAGAAGUUGGUUGCAAAAGUGAUCAAACAUAACAUUCAACACAAACACAUUGGUUUUGUAAUUAAAUGCCUAAGAUCUUAUAAUUUUGAAUUAAAUUGUUUGAUUAUACAAUCAGUUCAUAUUAUUUGGUGUAGCAUGCUGUUUAACAUUUUAGAGUUCCAUCCUUUUUAGUAACGAAAUAAUGAUGAACUCAUAUUAGUGGAUCCAUAAAAGUGUAUGCUAUUAGUUUGACGAGGUUAUAUAGCAAGGCAAUUCUUAUUUGACGAGAAUAAUGAAAAACCAAGAAGCAAAAGAAGAUAAAUUUGGAAAGAAGAGAUAAUUUUUCGCUCGAGGGUGGGGCUGUAAGGAAUCCGUGGCACGAGUAAACAAAAGCAUCUUGGUCGCCAUAUAGAAAAACAUCUUGGUUGCCUCCUCUCUAUCUCGCCCAUCUUGUUGCCAGGCAUGGAAGAGAGGAGGGAGAGCCGAGGAGCAUGGUGGCCUCUGGCUGUUGCCUGGGAAAAGGUAAAGGCCGUGGCACGACUGUCCGUCGCAAUGCCGCUGCUCCUUGCGUGCUUGUUUCCCUCCUUACACCCCCACGUCCAACUCGAUCUUUAGCUGCCGCAACGUCGUAGAUGACCAAGUCUAGCGCCCACGCCCGCCGCCAUCUUGUGAAUGGCCAACUGAUAGCCGAUGAUGGGGAAGGUUUUGAUAGUAUGAUAGUAUGAUGUGUGUUAGCUGAUUGUCAAGAAAAAGAUGUGAGUUAGUUGAGACCGCUUUAUUCUUGGUUAUUUUAGCUCCGUGAGUAGCAUCUUAAAUUUUUCCAAAAUCCCGUGGCAACGCACGGGCGUUUUACUAGUAUUAUUAGUUGCUCAAAUGAAUAUGUCUAGCACUAAAAUACAUCUAAUAUAUCUGUUUGAGCAACACAUAAUAUGAAUGGGAGGGAUUAGGUGUAAAUUGGAAGUGGCGGCCCCGGCAAGGCCUCGCUACUCGCUAAGACUACGUCCGAAACGGGGAUGACAUGGCUUGCAGCCGUGUAGCCAGUAGAGAAAGAGAAGAAACUUGAUCGACGCGAGUGGAUGGCCUUUUAGCUCCGGCUCCCACUCGGAUUAGAUAGCUACCUCGCUGGAGGUGGAAUGGAAAUAUUAUGCGGUACACAAUAUGUCAAGGCUGAGAUUUGACCCUUCGGCAAUGGAGAGAUACACUCUGGGCCCACUCAAUAUUACGGUAUCCAACAUCGUGUGGCAGGUAUAGUGACUAAGGUGUUAGUCGCGAGGAUACCGGGAUAGAGAGAUACACUAAGGAGUUUUAGAAUCAAAAUCAGGAUGUCGUAUCCCUUGUUUGUAGGAGGGUUUCUGACGAAAGGAACAAUGCUCUACUAGCCCCUUAUUUUGCCAAGGAUGUUCGUAUGGCUCUAUUUGAUAUUGGUGCUUUAAAGGUUUUGGAACUUGAUGGGCUUUAUGUAAUUUGCAAUCUGAAUUGCGACCUAUUCUCUUUCAAUGCUAUGAUUUUUUUUCCAUAAAAAAAUACUAUGAAAUUCCAUUCCCAUUAGAAUAUUCAUUGACAUGUAAAAAAGAGGAAAGCUCUAAUAUGAUAGAAAAUAAUAAUCUAUUUUAACCCAUUUGCGAGAAAGCGUGAACUAAGAGACUUGAAAUUUUGACUUGAACAAUAAGAAUUUACGAUUUGUAUAGUCGGAUUGAAAUUAGCAAGUAAAUUGGUUGUCUUAUUUUUAAUAUAAAGUAUUGCAAUAUCUAUGAAUUACAAAAUUCAUUUAAGUGAAAAAAAGUGCAUUACAGGCGUAUGAUCAUUACCCAUCAAGCAGGUUAUUCGAUUCCACCUCUAUACAUAUAAAAAAACUAAAAGAGAAUACAUAAUAAUACAGUGAAACAUUUAUAGAACACCUAUACCAAGCACACGCAAGGGAAACAUAGACGGGCAAGUGAAAUCCAAUCCACGAAAUAAUUUAAUCCAUCGAAGAUCAGUGUAUCGAUUGCUCCUAAAGAUGGGAAUGCGAAAGAAGAUGUCGAUGGAUUCUAUAGCGUGAGCAUGCGGUGCACCCCCGAGGGUCUGCUAGACCGGUUGAUGCUCCCGGCUAGUUGGCGGGCGGCUUGGUGAGGUCAUCGGAUUUCUUGGUGUGUGUGGCGAGGUUGUAAUUCCAGAGGAGUCAUUAUUACAAGGCAUAAAGAGGGAGGUCAUAAGCGCCUAUACCUUAAAAUAGUUUUUUGAUGGAUUCAGAAGACAUAUCUUGUAGAAAGUGUGUGCAUGACCAUGAGUCAUUGUGUUAUAUCUCAUCUACACCUAGUGUGAACAUUGUUUAAUAGAUUGUAGCAGCAGUAGUAGCAAUUCAUGUUGUUUCCGAUCAUAGAACAGAACGGAAGAACUUGUAUUUUGCACAAUCAUUUAGUUUCAGCUGUGUUUGUUCCAUGAUCUUAAUCAGAUUUCCAAACAUAAUAAUGAAACAUCUGUCACAUAACACGUUGUCACACUGACAAGCAGUCUGUUUAAAAAGAUAUGGAAUUCGAGGAUCAUCAUUACAUUUCCAAUACACAUCAGGACAUUGAGUUUAUGUCCGAAGUGCUUUGAUUUGUUAAGCUGCUCAUCUAAACCACGAUUCAAAUGUUCUGUUGCAUUGUGUCCUGAUGUGUCCAAGUACGCCACACUUCCCGCACUUUGGUUCUUUCCUCUGCUUCUUGUUUGAUCCGUCAUUUGUUGGGCACUUCCCAGAGUUGUGUCCCUUUCCCCUGCAAGUUUUACAAAACUUGGUUCUUGGAUUGCUCACUUCAUAGCCUGGCCUAGAUCUUGCGUUGGUAGGUCGCCCACGAUCUCUCUUGCGAGAUUCUAUCCUCAUUGAUGAUUUGAGAUUAAUGUCGCCUGCAUCAACCCCGUUGAUAUCAAUGUUUUCUUUACCUAGUAUAUCCUCUAGUCCUUUGCCAUCUUUCUCAGUUGCUUUUUCUUUGAGAUCAUCCCUUGCAUCUGACAGCCUUACCAUUGCAAGGUCGAAGGCCUCAGGGUUGCUGUCACCCAUCCUUACAAUAUCAAGAGCUGUUGUGUAAAGUGUUGUAUGCCUGAAGGUAGUUGAUUCCAGGAUAGGGCUGUGUCCCUUAUAUAUUUUCAAGUGCUCAGGUAAAUCUUCACAUGCGUUUUUAGUCCACCUCCUCAUGAUGUGCUCUUCUGGUAUCUUCGUGAAUUUCAAGUGUGCCAUUACCUGAAACAUUAGUUAGCACGUUUUAAACAGAUUCAAUAAUGAUCUUCAAAUUCUAACAUAACCUUUUAAGGAAAACAUUUUACCCGGAUCGCAUGGCAGCAGAGCAAACCCAUAUGCUCAUACAUUCCACACUCGCAUUUGAAGAUAUUCUCAGGUUGAUGCACUUUGACAUUGUAAGAUGUUUUUGACCAGCUCUCUCUCCGCUCUGCAAAAAGGUGUGUGACACAAUAUGUAUCGUUUAUGACCAGAGUGUUCUCGACGUAGUAGGAUGCAGAUUUGAAGCAUGCUUCUUGGAACUGUUUGAACAGCGCAGGUGUGUAAACCUUCGCAGCAUGCCUCUCCAUAGGCAAACCGGUCUUGAGCACUGUGCUCACCUAUAUUAAGAACAACGAAAAUUAUAGUCAGAAUUGUUUGUCCCAACAGUUAGAAAAAGUAAGCUAAUAACUUAGUAUUUAGUACAGUUAAGGCCAUUAAACACACCAAGUGGCUUUUCUUCUCAGCAAAAUUUUCUUCUGAAUCACGGUCAAACUGAAGUUUCUGGUAGUUCCUAACAAACAUGUGCAUUGAGGCACCAGCAGGUACAAAAUUCUUCAACAUGUGGUUAGCGCUCUCUGACCGUUGGGUGCUUGUCAUCCUCGCGCAGAAUACACCUGCAAAAUAUGGCUUUGCCCAUUUCUGUCGGAGCUCGUAUAUCUGUGUCAACAUUGGGUGUUCCUGAAGACCAUACUUUUGAAUCAACUUUGCCCAAGCUGCUUUGAACUCUUCUACAGUGAGCAUAUAUUCCAAUAUCUUGUGUAGUUCAUCCCUGAAAUCUUUGUUCUGUGUGUAUACAGAGCCAAGGGAUUCCUUUGCACGACGCAGCACAUGCCAUUUGCACCACCGGUGCUUCGUUCCAGGCAAUACUUCAGCAAUAGCCAACUCCAUGGCACGGCAUUGGUCUGAUAGGAAUUUUAUGGUCAGUACGUGAUAAUGAAGGUACAAGAUAAAUUACAUGUUUUGAAAUGCAUUAGGAGGCUCCAAUUAUUUACCUGUUAGGAUAGUUACCGGUGCUUUACCUCCCAUUAAUGACACAAAUUCCUUGAAUACCCACUCGAAUGAUUCUUGCUUCUCGUUCCUCAUCAUAACGCCUCCUAAUAUUAUGCUCUGGAAAUGAUGGUUGACCCCAACAAAUAGUCCGAAUGGCAUAUCGUACUGGUUUGUACGAUAUGUUGUGUCGAAUGUGAUUGCAUCGCCAAACAUUUUGUAUUGGUAUCUACUCCUUCCAUUUGUCCACAUAAGAGCCUGAAUCUUGCUGUCGCCGUCGACAAGAACACUGUCAGCAAACAUUGGGUCAUUCUUCUUAAGUUCAGAGAAGAGUUGAACUGUUUUCCUUAUGUCAUCAUCUGCAGUUUCUUGGUUCAUCCUCUUGCACAUGUACUUGAGAGCUCUCUUGUUGAAUGGUACACUCUCCAUUGAUCCAAAGAAGCUUGCCAUGACACAAAAAACCUUGGUUAUCCCAAUGUUGUUGCUCCUCAAGUGCUUGACAAUAUCUUUUGUGUGUGUGUCAAUGUUCCUGUGUGAUGGCCAAUGUAGUUUCUCGCCACACGAUGAGGACAAAUGGUGGUUGUGUUCAGAUCUAAAAUCAUGUAUAUACCAUCCAUUGUCGGCUGUGCGGUGUAGCCUGAUCAAGGCUUGGCAGUUGCAGGCUACUGACUUUGUGUUUUCUUUCUUUGGCCUUCCCUGAAAUUAUAACGGUAGCGCAACAUUAGUAUUUUUAGUGGCUAAGAAGCAUGUCAUCCAAAGAAUCACUUGAUGCUGUCUAUACUCACCGCACAGCCGCAAACGAUGUCCUGAACGGUUCUGCUCUUCUUUGCAUUUGUCCUAGAUUGACCAUAUCUGAUGCCAAACCCAAUCUCCCAAGAAUAAAGAUUAUAAAAUUCAAAUGCCUCCGCAAGUGAGUCGAACUCUCUUCCAAUCUCAGGGGCGACAACUUGUCCAGACUUCCUUUGAACAAAUUCACGCAUUGCUUUUUCGAGCGCACAGACCCUUCCCUAUUUAGGCUGCCGCUGAUCUGGUAUUUUCCCACGACGUAUCCUGACAGAAAUGAAAGUAAACUUCUCAGGGAAAGACUGAGUUAUGUGGCGAAUCUUAUCUGCAUUUUCAUGAAAGACUAAGUUUCAAUAUGAUUUUUGCAGAGCUAUUUGGAGUCCUAGAUGACCAUAAAAAGCUGUCACAACCCAUAAUUCCUCGCAUGUAAAACUAACCAUACUGCACAUACAGCAGUUACCAGUUCAUGGAGUUCUGAACUUUAUGGCUGCUCAAUGUUAUAUGAUUAACGAGAUAUGCACACAAGCUACAAAUGGUUCAGACCAAAAAGUUCAGUAUGUAACCCAGAUUAGAAUCCAAAGUCCAAAAAACAGAUUCAGUCCCAGCUUCCUCUACUGCAAUGUAAAUAUUGCAGUGAUUGGAGUUGCAUAUAGACACAGUUUCUUUCACUGAAAAAACCACCAUGUUGACUGUAAUCGCUGAUAAGUUAGUGCAGUAUGCAACUCCUUGUAAUCGGUAACCACAAAGCAUUCAACAGGAUGCAAAGGAAAAGAACAUGGAGACCUAAGCGGCAGAUGUGGUUACCUUCUCUUCCAUGGACAUUGGUCAGGACGAGAUUGGUCUGACUGAACCAGGUUUGGCUUGUUGGUUUGCUCUGACAGCGGCGACUCCAAGCAUUCAUCUCCUGACCAAGUGUAUCCAUCGAGCUCUGGCGUUGGCGAGCGGAGCUUGGCAUCGUCGUUCUCACAAUUCACCUCGCCGUCGGCCUCAUAGAUGGGGGAAGUUGGAUCUGGUAUGGUGGGAGAGGACUGAAAUUGAUCCUCGGUGUCGAUGCCGCCCCCGCAAUGGUUUCCGCCCUCCGUCCAAUCUGUCUCUCCCACAUACUCUUGUUCUUCUUGCUGGGUCCAACAGAGAUUUGGAUCUUGGGAAGGGAUGGAGGAGAAGCUGUCCGCCGGAGGGCAUGUGAGAUGAAUCGUUGAGGAACAAAGAUUUGAAUGGAUUGCCAAUGGGUUUGAGCAUACCUUAGAAGUAGUUGGGUGAACGAUCCAGGCGCGAGGACCAUCCGUGGCGGCGGCGUAUCCAUCGCCGGACGGGAGAUCUUUUGCGGAAUUCUCUCCGAAAUCUCGGAGCUCUAGUCAGGAACUGGGAGCUGUUCAAAUUUUGAAUGGUUUGCUCCUCCCAUAGGUUGGGGUCGUUUCCACAGCACAGGUAUGGGCCGCCGCUCGUAUCUGAAUACGUAUGGUAGGAAUGGUCUCUGUAUUCCUGGCGUAUUGGUUUAGGAAAAGAUGCGAGGUGGGGUCGGAGGGAAUUGCCACAUGGGCUGCGGGUCCGGCUGGUGUGGAUCCACACGCGCUCGCGAGCGGUUGGGAUAGCCGCUGUGAACGGAACGCGAAAGUAAAAGGCUUUAUCGGGUAUGUAUCUGGUGUUGAUGAAGGCGGCGUAUAUUUCAGUGAUCUCUGACACCUUGCGCACUCGACGGCUGCGACGGAUUACGCAGCUUGGUUCCUUAGGAGUGAGUCCAUGCAGCUAGCAUUGUGCUGCAAAUGCGGAGCCAAUACCGGAUUUCAGGGACGUCGUCCGCGUCGGCGUCGGCGUCAGCCACGCUGGCAGGCCGGAUGGCGGGGUGCAUAUCGGAUAGCUGAAAAAUCCACCAGCCAAUAAAAUAAGUAAGUGGCUCGCUAGUAAUUCCGGAACAUUAAUGGAGAUAAAAGGAGACAAUCUAGCAUGAAGAUUAUACAUGAAACGACGGAAAUCACAAACAAAGAAAGAAUCUCACGGGAUGCAUGGAUGGAAAUUGCAGGGCCAUACGGAAUACCUUAUUUGUUGUUGAUAAUUGCCCCAGAUCCCAUUAUUUCGGUGCAGAUGUGAUUUGGAGAGAGAGAGAUCUUUGGAUGGCAUCGAUCCAGGAAAGGCUGCGCCAUAAAAAUCGGGACAUCCGGCCAACAACUAAUCGGGUUCAAGAUUAAUUACGUUUUACUGUGCCCGAUCCGUUUAGGAAUGCACGAAUCUCAAAGAAUCUAACGGCAAUAGAGAUGUAGGUAACUACCACCUAGUGGUAGGAUGUAUUUUUCCUAUGUGUGUGUGUGUGUGUGUGUGUGUGUAUAAGAUGCACGCACAUAUGCAUUGCUUGAGUAUGUAUGCAUACUCUCUGUAAAUGUAUGUAUGCAUUACAAAAUUAAGAAAGUGAUAACAGAGCAUCUGAGUUUCCAUAUGGAACAGGGAGGGGUGGUUGUGGUUGUAACAGCAAAGUGUUUUAGCUCACUCCAGCCUUGAUCCGGCAAGAGCAUCUGAGCUUCCAUAUAUAUGAUCAUAUCUUCAAAAGGAAAAACUUCUUCCUGAAUCAAGCUAGCUCAUAUCCGGAGAGAAAAUCUUCUCCGAGAAAGAAUGUCAUGUGCAUCAGGAGAAGCUUCUUGCAGAGUCAUGCCGUGUGCAGCAGAAGAAGCUUCUUCGUCGGUAUAAAGAGAGGGGCAGCCCAUCGACUGUCACAACUCACAAGCAAGAGGAAGAACUAGAACCAAUGGAGAGGAAGAACAGGAGAGUGAAGGCUGCGGCCGUCUGCGUGCUCCUCGCCGUCCUGCUGUCGGCGCAGCAGCUGCUGGUGGCCGGCGCCGCGCCGGNNNNNNNNNNNNNNNNNNNNNNNNNNNNNNNNNNNNNNNNNNNNNNNNNNNNNNNNNNNNNNNNNNNNNNNNNNNNNNNNNNNNNNNNNNNNNNNNNNNNNNNNNNNNNNNNNNNNNNNNNNNNNNNNNNNNNNNNNNNNNNNNNNNNNNNNNNNNNNNNNNNNNNNNNNNNNNNNNNNNNNNNNNNNNNNNNNNNNNNNNNNNNNNNNNNNNNNNNNNNNNNNNNNNNNNNNNNNNNNNNNNNNNNNNNNNNNNNNNNNNNNNNNNNNNNNNNNNNNNNNNNNNNNNNNNNNNNNNNNNNNNNNNNNNNNNNNNNNNNNNNNNNNNNNNNNNNNNNNNNNNNNNNNNNNNNNNNNCUACAAGCCGCUCUGCGUCGUGGUGUGCGCCCUGGGCGGCCAGAUGGGUGGCGGCUGCCCGGGUGUCUGCGGGGAGGCCUCGGACAAUGUCUUGUAUGGUGGAAUAAACAAAUAAAUUGAUAUGGAAAAUCAUACUCCCUCCUUUCCAGUUUAUAGGGCUUAUCUCAAAUUUUUAGUUUUUUCAUUUUAUAAGGCUCAAUUUGAUUGUUCCCCAUCACAUGUUCAGACUUCAAGGUGCAUUAAAUUAUUGCAUGCAAGUAUUAAGAGAAAACUGACCAAUGCAUGCAUGCAUUGCAAUUAAUGCAUUCAUAAACGUAAUGUUUUGAGGAAAACAAAAGCAUUAAUUGGGUGCUUUUGCAAACUACAAAAAAUAUUCCACCACUCAUCAUCUAUCUUGGUUGGUGAGAUUUUUGAAUUGAGCCUUAUAAACCGGAAAGGAGGGAGUAUAUGAGAAUUUGGUUGGGUUGUCACUCGAUCGGUUUAGUGGAAUGUUACUAUGUUCUUUGUGAAAUGUUGUAGUACUACACUGAAGAGAGCUUAGUUUGAGAUGUUGUCAUACUCCCUCCGGUCCUUUUUACUUUGCAUAUAAGAAUUGUCUGAAGUUAAACUUUAUAAAGUUUGACCAUAUUUAUAUGAAAAUAUAUUAACAUCUACAAUGCUAAAUUUAUACAACAUGAAAACUAAAGUCAUGACGUAUCUAAUAUUGUUGAUCUCACAUUCUAAAUAUUAAAUUUUUUUUCUAUAAACUUGGUCAAAGUUUACGAGGCUUGACUUCAACCGGAGGGAGUAUGUGAGAGUUGUCACAGGUUUGUGAAACCAGCAAAAAAGAAAAAGAUGACCAGGUUCAGGUUUGCUCAAUUUCACCUGAUGAUUCAGGUGUAGAUGUGUGACGACCCAAGUUGUCACAGAGCGUUUUCAUCAUCACAUGGUCAUUUUAAGUUGGGGUGAGAGAGGCUCGAACUCUCGACCUCAGGAUCACUCAAGUCUUAGCUAUGAGACCUACGCGCUAGCCAACUGCGCCACCACCCCUUUGUUGUUUUCUUAGCCAAACAUCCUUGUAUGUUAAUAUCUUUGUUCAGACAAAGCAAAGGACGAUUAACCAGGCGACACAGGUCUGUGCAUACGCUGCACAAAUCGGCUGGUUCUUCCAUCGUUAAAUCCAGAGUUGAAGAAAUGGAGAAAGGAACUGCAGAAAUGCCAUCUUAAAGGGCCAGAGCUAUCAAAAUAUCGGACCUUUUUUGACACUGUCAUAGUGUAAAAAAAACUCUUGUAUUUUGAUAGAGGGAGUACUCGUGUAAAAUUAGCACAUUAUAGUCACGAAUCAGAUGUAAAAUCGACAUGGCAUUGAAAUGUCCACAGCUCAUACAAUGUGCUAACUCAAGAUAACCUGAGCAUUGGGUCACUCAUGCCACCGCAUCGAUCACAGCAGAUCCUACCACCAAGCGGAAAUAAUCCAAGUCGCGACUUAAUAUCUUAAUAAUCAAUUCGGUACAGCACUGAGCGACUGCGGCUCGUCUUUGCGCUGAUACAGAUAGAACUAACUGUGCGCUUACGUGCGCAGCAGCUAUGUCCGGGCCGAAUCUUCCGUAAACAAGAACAGAAAUUGGCACUAGUAAACUAGUAGGUAGAUCAGGUAGGCAACAUAACUACAGGUUUCCAUACAGAACCAAUGGUGUGCUUACAAAAUAUCAUCAACGGGCGACUGCAGCAGAACCCUUCACGUCGAACGGAGAUCCCAACGGCGCGAUCAGGCCCAGGCUCUGCAUGAUCUUGAUCUGGCGCACGCUACGCUGCUCCGAUCCCCCCGCGCCCCUGCUCUGGUGGAGUUUGGUCAAAUCAGUGUCCGAAAUUCAUUCAGACAAUCGAUUCAGAAGAAUGGAGUGUCUACUUACAGGAGAAGAGUUGGGGUCCUUGGUCUCCGGCUUUGCCGCCUUGCCCUUUCUAGGUUUCUUCUUCGCAGCACGGCUUGAGUCAGCCUCCAGCCCACUAGCGGCCCGCUUGGUGCUUAGUCCACCCUCUGUCUCAGUAGUAGUAGCAGCAGUCGCCUUUGCCUCGGUAGCUUCACAGAUUCCAAAGAUCACUUCAUCCACAUAUGCCAUUUCAGCAGCAAGCUGCCUGUCUAUGACGUCCCCCAGCAGUAUAUCCCUGACCAUAGCUUUUAUCUUCCGGUGGGUUCCUUCGACCGUCAAACCAGUUUUGUGCUGGCUUCGAUUCACGGAUGUCAUGUCUCCUGCUUCAGCUGCAUUUUCACUUGCGCUUGAAACAUGGAGCUGUGAUGUGCUGUCCUCCGCCGCAUCUGAAUGUUCCUUCAGAUUGGUACGGCCCGACCGCUUUGAGGAUCCUUCCUUUUUGGCCACCGAUGUUCCUGAUGAUGCCUUCUUACCACUCUUUUUAUCUCGCACAGCAGAAGCUUGCUUGGGUGUCUUAUCUCUUAAACCUUCAGCAGAAUCUAUACUCAAAGCUUUGUCAAGAGCACUUGCUUGCCUCACACCUUUCUGCUUUUUUCCUUUCUGAGCAGCACCUCCACCUUCUGCAUUGCUCCGAACUUCUUGGUCCUGCUCUAAGGCUUCUUGCUUUCUGACUUUCUUAGUAGACGUCUUGGCUGUGGCCAAUAUGGUCAGACCAUAUGAAAAAUAGAGAAUUAGAUGCGUAGCAAUUAAAAAUAUAUAUGUGUGUACCAUUGAUAGCAAGGCGACUUGAAACUUGACAGGGAAAUAAAACCGCACAGGUGAUAAUUUAGCAAUACUGUCACUGAUACUGCUCCUAGAACAUGUUACCUAAUCACACCAUUGUGAAAAGAUUCACAAACGGUAACAUAUCACUGUUAACAUAAAUCACUAAUGAAAAAGGGAUAACAUGAAUGGUCAAACCACAAGGACCACCAUGAUCAAUGCACAUAACGUGUUUUUCUGCAUAUAUUCUCCAGCCAAGAAAAAACAGAAAUUCACCUUUUGUGUUGACAGCUUCCUCCUCGUCAUCACUGGCCGACUUAAAAUGAGAGAGCUCCUGCAUUUGUAAGAUUAAACAUGGAUCUCAACAACCUCCACCAAACUGUGAUUCAUAAUAUGUUCAAAGCGAAGGCGAGAUUGCCCUACCUUCUGAAGCACCUCAUGGAAUGCUUCCAUGGCUGUCUUAUUUUCUUUCUUCAGAAACUGCAUACAAUGAGCUCAUAUGAGAAAUAUUUAAAAUUCAAAAUGCUCAGGGUUGGAUAUCAUUCAUGCGUGAGAAGACAAAAACAACUAAUUUUCUUGGAAGUUAAAUAACAAAAAGCAGUUUAUAGUUUAUACACCAGAAUCAUUUACCAUAAAAUUACUACAACUCUACAAGCAGCACAUAAGUAGUGACGCUGGGUGAGGAUUCGAUUGAUAUGACCGGUUUAGGUAGAAAAAAACAAAUAGGGCAAUUAUUAACUAGAAAAAUAUUCAUUCAAUCAGCUAUUAGUUUAUUAGUUAUGCAACAACAACAACAACAAAGCCUUUAGUCCCAAACAAGUUGGGGUAGGCUAGAGGUGAAACCCAUAAGAUCUCGCAACCAACUCAUGGCUCUGGCACAUGGAUAGCAAGCUUCCACGCACCCCUGUCCAUAGCUAGCUCUUUGGUGAUACUCCAAUCCUUCAGGUCUCUCUUAACGGACUCCUCCCAUGUCAAAUUCGGUCUACCCCGCCCUCUCUUGACAUUCUCCGCACGCUUUAGCUGUCCGCUAUGCACUGGAGCUUCUGGAGGCCUGCGCUGAAUAUGACCAAACCAUCUCAGACGAUGUUGGACAAGCUUCUCCUCAAUUGGUGCUACCCCAACUCUAUCUCGUAUAUCAUCAUUCCGGACUCGAUCCUUCCUCAUGUGGCCACACAUCCAUCUCAACAUACGCAUCUCCGCCACACCUAACUGUUGAACAUGUCGCCUUUUAGUCGGCCAACACUCCGCGCCAUACAAUAUUGCGGGUCGAACCGCCGUCCUGUAGAAUUUGCCUUUUAGCUUUUGUGGCACUCUCUUGUCACAGAGAAUGCCAGAAGCUUGGCGCCACUUCAUCCAUCCGGCUUUGAUUCGAUGGUUCACAUCUUCAUCAAUACCCCCAUCCUCCUGCAACAUUGACCCCAAAUACCGAAAGGUGUCCUUCCGAGGUACCACCUGGCCAUCAAGGCUAACCUCCUCCUCACACCUAGUAGUACUGAAACCGCACAUCAUGUACUCGGUUUUAGUUCUACUAAGCCUAAACCCUUUCGAUUCCAAGGUUUGUCUCCAUAACUCUAACUUCCUAUUUACCCCCGUCCGACUAUCGUCAACUAGCACCACAUCAUCCGCAAAGAGCAUACACCAUGGGAUAUCUCCUUGUAUAUCCCUUGUGACCUCAUCCAUCACCAAUGCAAAAAGAUAAGGGCUCAAAGCUGACCCCUGAUGCAGUCCUAUCUUAAUCGGGAAGUCAUCGGUGUCGACAUCACUUGUUCGAACACUUGUCACAACAUUAUCAUACAUGUCCUUGAUGAGGGUAAUGUACUUUGCUGGGACUUUGUGUUUCUCCAAGGCCCACCACAUGACAUUCCGCGGUAUCUUAUCAUAGGCCUUCUCCAAGUCAAUGAACACCAUAUGCAAGUCCUUCUUUUGCUCCCUAUAUCUCUCCAUAAGUUGUCGUACCAAGAAAAUGGCUUCCAUGGUCGACCUCCCAGGCAUGAAACCAAACUGAUUUUUGGUCACGCUUGUCAUUCUUCUUAAGCGGUGCUCAAUGACUCUCUCCCAUAGCUUCAUUGUAUGGCUCAUCAGCUUAAUUCCACGGUAAUUAGUACAACUCUGAACAUCCCCCUUGUUCUUGAAGAUUGGUACUAAUAUACUCCAUCUCCAUUCUUCUGGCAUCUUGUUUGCCCGAAAAAUGAGGUUGAAAAGCUUGGUUAGCCAUACUAUUGCUAUGUCCCCGAGACCUUUCCACACCUCAAUGGGGAUACAAUCCGGGCCCAUCGCCUUGCCUCCUUUCAUCCUUUUUAAAGCCUCCUUCACCUCAGACUCUUGGAUUCGCCGCACAAAACGCAUGCUGGUCUCAUCAAAGGAGUCGUCUAGUUCAAUGGUAGAACUCUCAUUCUCCCCAUUGAACAGCUUGUCGAAGUACUCCCGCCAUCUAUGCUUAAUCUCCUCGUCCUUCACCAAGAGUUGGCAUGCACCGUCCUUGAUGCAUUUGACUUGGCCAAUGUCCCUCGUCUUCCUCUCUCGAAUCUUGGCCAUCUUAUAGAUGUCCCUUUCACCUUCCUUCGUGCCUAACCGUUGGUAGAGGUCCUCAUAUGCCCGACCCCUUGCUUCACCAACAGCUCGCUUUGCGGCCUUCUUCGCCAUCUUGUACUUCUCUAUGUUGUCUGCACUCCUAUCCAGGUAUAGGCAACAAUGAUAAAAUAAAAUACAUGCUUUACCUGUACAAUCCUAAAACAUAUAUGUGUGAGUCGUGCUAUUGGUACAUUCUGUUAGUUAGAACAAAGCAUAUUACAAUUCAGAACAAUUGUUAGAAUUUCAUUAUCAACAUAUGCAAUAUUAUAUAAUUUAUCAAGUGUGUGCGAAUAUAUGUCCGUCAGUUCAGCCUUUUGGUUAUAUCAGCUUCCUGCAGUUAAAAACCUAGGGAAACCAAAAUUGCAAUAAUGAUUGAAGUUGUUGGUUAUUUUCGUGUUUCAGCUGAUUUAAGCUUCUUUAAUACAGUUCAGUCAGUUACCACUACUCCAUAUUAGCAUCCUCAUGAGCUGUAGGAUAGAAGAUGUGCAUACCAUUUCGAAUUCCAUGUUAGACUUCCAAGGGUCAACAUACAAGCUGAAAAUAAAAUAGUGAAGACAAUUACCUUUAUUGUAAAGAUUAUCAGUUGAUCGCCACUAGAAAGAAAAGAAAGGCUUCACAUGUUAUUAGGACCCUUACUCUAGGCAUGUGCCAUACAGUCGAACCAGAGCGUCAUGGCUGGUCUUCUUCUUGGCCUUGCUACUGGCACAUGCUUCAUCAAUGACCUUGAAUUCAGAAACAGAAGUGGUCUAAAUAUGUGCAUGGGAAGCUAGGAUGAAGAACAUAACAGUUGGGGAAAGUCUGAAAUGUUUUGUCUUUGCAACAUACAAGUACAAAGGUUGUGGCAUUGGCACUUGAGACUUGACCAAACUAUCUUACUCAUACAUGAUAUAUAUAAUUGAUCUACUACAGAUGCAACCAUCUGCCAGCGUUCAAUUUAAGCUGAUGUGCAAUGCAACAAGCAUAUUCACUGGCAUCUAGAAUUAUUUUAGAACCAUACUGGCAUUGAGUGCAGCAAAAAAAUGGUUCAACAUGUUGGGGUAAUCUAAAUUGCUGAUCCGUAGCAAAGCAAAGGUAUUUAGCUAAUUGAAGUAUGAAGUGCUCAGAAGGUGUAUGCAUCAUACCUGGGCUGGCCACCAUGAGGAGCCAUCAUGCUUAACCCAUGUUAUAUCUCCUAAACAGAAAUUCUGCCUUGGGUUAUUUUCUGAGGGUUCAGGACUUGAUGUGCAUGCAGCCAUACGACCAUAACUUUUCUCUGCACUUUUCCUCACCAUAAUGACCAAUUCAGACCUGCAACAGCAUUAAACAAGAAAUAUUAGUAUUGAUAUUGCCCACUCUUACUGCUUGUUAGCUUGACAGAAAGCUAUUCGACCAAAAGAUCAACUUAAAUUCACUGUUAUAAAAAGCAGUCGUGUAGCCUGACUAAGUGUUUGGCUCCAGCAACUGCCCACCUGGCACCUAACACCUGAAAUCAUCUUACUCAAACAAGGCUACAGCUCAUUCCGUGGUAUGGUUGAAUAUACGAUAUACCAACAUCAGUUUUGACGAUGCUAUAGCCACCAAAAUAUAGAGAGCAAGUGGCCUUAAUUUUUUACCAGAAUGUUGGUGUAGGUUUUGAAUAUGUGGCCAGAUGGCGGUGUUAUGAAGACUAGUAAGAUGCUGGGCAAGGAAUGGAGGUAUUAUGAAAGACUGGUACGAUACAGAGACGUUUCAAAUCAGUUCUCUCAGACGACAAUGUAAAACAAAACUGCAUCUGAAUCGGUUAUCUCAGAAAUAUGUUGCAUCGCCAACGCAAACAGCACUAAAACGGUGUAGUAUGAUGCACACCAUCACUGCCGUGUGACAUGUGCAAUUAUGCAAUUAGCGAACCAGAGCAUCAGACUGGAUCUGGAGAUCUCAAAUGGGAUGUGGCCUUACUCUCAGUCUCUCACCGAAGCUUAAGCAGUUAUUCAGUAUCAUUAUAUCCCUAAAAAGCACUUGCUCAGUGAAUUAAAGGGGGGUGCAGGAACAAAACUCGUCAAAUAAAUCAGGUGCAGACUUUUGCACUCUGAAGUUCGCUGGAUUUGAGUAUAUGCCCUCGUCCAGCAGUCUCUUGAUAAAAUGCAUGGAAGCUGAAUGUGCUUCUCAUGAUUUGCCCUGAGGGAUGUGUUUUCAACGAAAAAUCAACAAGAUGCCGCACAUUUAUUUGCAAUUUGACACAAAUGACGCAUGUACAGGUGGCCCCAGGCCCCCACAUGUCAGACAAAGGCGUGUCACUUUGUCAAAUUCCUCGUUCUUCACAUAACAAAAUCAAUUAACCCCUUCACUCAAAAAAAAAUCAAUUAAUCCUUUUUACCCGGCCAAGGAAAAGGCAACUUUGGCCCUUCUUUCCGUUGCUCCAGCACACAGCAUAGAUAGAUAGACAGGAGGCGGCGAGCUUUCGCUGUUUGCACUUGCACGUGCACGGCGCGCCCUGGGGUAAUGGCUCGACCGAUGCCAGCAAAAAUCGAUUAGUCCGCACAUAAUGUGGUCCGUCGCGCCUCUCCCCUCCCAAAUUCCCCCUCGAAAGCAGCCCUAUCUCGUCUCGCGAACAAAACCUAGGGUUCGCUCGUACGACGCAAAAUCGGGGGCCAAAACCUACGAUCUGGCAAGCGGAUGCGACGAGCGGCGAGACGGUGCGGGGAUGACCUCGCUGGCAGCCGCCGCCCUGGGUCUCAGCCGGUCGCCGGGCUGGAUGGGGGCGUGCUGCUCCUGCAGCGAAAAGAGGGGGAGCGGGUGGGCGCGGCGAGCAGGGAGGGGGCGGGAGAAGAAUGCAGAGGGGGCGGGGCGAAGGGAAGCACCUCGCUGCAGGAUGCCGCGCGGUCGCCGGCCGGAGUGGUGGAGCAGGCUGCCCCGCUCCCUGGCGACGGCGAGGCUGAGCUGGGUGGAGAGGUCGAGGGUUCGAGUGUGAAUGGAGAGGCGAGCUGGGGGAGCUCGGGUUUGAUUAUUGCCUUGGGGGGCAAAUGGGUCUUUUUGGUUUCAUUCACACUCUCGAGUCUCGAGUGUGGGGCCGGCGGGCAGGCUGGCAUCGCAAGGCAGCUAAAUUAUUUCUUCUCGACGACUAACCCUCUCACGGCAUCUACAGCGGGUUUUGUCAAACCCGGCCCCGGUCGUGGACACAACCACACAUCUCAAAUUCAAACAACCCUCAAAACAAAAUUCUCAAAUUCAAACUCACAAAUUAAUGCAAAUCCAUGCAUGUGCAUCAUACACGUGAAAUGUCGUAUCAUUGUAGCUCCAUGAAAUAAUUUUCCAACGAGUUUGGAACACUCCGAAUGCCCUCUUCACAUCCUUCCUAACUGCCUCUUGCAUUUUUUGUAAAGUAACUUUGUUUGUUGCCUUGAGUUCGGAUAUGGUUUUCACAAAUGCCACCCUCUGAGGAUACAUGCAAUCGAUAAGACGGUACCCCCAUGUUUGUAGUCGCGGCGUUGAUAGUGUAGUUGCAUGGCGGCGAUUCUCCCUUACAAUGUCUCCUGGACACAGAGAUCGCUGAAGCACAUUGAUAUCGUUGUGAGAACGUGACAUUUCAAAGAACCAGUCCUCGGAUGAGGAUGAUUUUAUUGCUUGGCAGUAUGAGAAGAGUGGUUUGUUCACAGUAAAAAGUGCAUAUAAUCCGGCACUUAGUCUCAAGGAGGGGAAGGAGGAGCAAGUGCAAUCUAGUGGAGACACGAAUGGGGAUAGGAAACUUUGGAAUGUCAUUUGGAAAGCCAAUGUCCCCCAAAAGAUCAGAACUUUUGUGUGGCGGGCGGCUUCUAAUAACCUAGUGGCACAGGUUAAUAGAGUUAAGCACCAUCAGGCUACUUCUGAAUUAUGCUCUAUUUGUGGUAUGGAGGAUGAAAGUAUGUUUCAUGCUUUGGUGACAUAUCCUAAGGUGAGUGCUCUGCACAUAGAGUUGAGGGGAGUGUGGAAUAUUCCCAGAGAAGAAGUGUUUAAGUGCUCAGGACCCGAUUGGAUGCUUAUCUUGUUGGACCAAUUAACCACUACUGUUCGUGAGCUUGUUCAUAUUCUGGAGAGCUUGACACUUACAUAAUGAUCUUAUUUUUGCCAAAGGGAAAGAAUUUGUUUCAAACUCGGCUAAUUUUGUGGAUAAUCAUUGGGCGACAUUUUUCAUCUUGCCAUCAUGCAAAAACUGCCACAUGAGUCAAAGGUAAGGGAUCAGAGGUGGGGUUGCAGUCUCGUACUUAUCCACCGAGUAUNNNNNNNNNNNNNNNNNNNNNNNNNNNNNNNNNNNNNNNNNNNNNNNNNNNNNNNNNNNNNNNNNNNNNNNNNNNNNNNNNNNNNNNNNNNNNNNNNNNNNNNNNNNNNNNNNNNNNNNNNNNNNNNNNNNNNNNNNNNNNNNNNNNNNNNNNNNNNNNNNNNNNNNNNNNNNNNNNNNNNNNNNNNNNNNNNNNNNNNNNNNNNNNNNNNNNNNNNNNNNNNNNNNNNNNNNNNNNNNNNNNNNNNNNNNNNNNNNNNNNNNNNNNNNNNNNNNNNNNNNNNNNNNNNNNNNNNNNNNNNNNNNNNNNNNNNGUGUACUAGUGUUGAUGAAGUGGAACUCAGGGCAUGUCUAGCGGGACUAUAUACCGAUAUCACUCUCCAUAAGCCUGUUGUUUUGGAAACAGACUGCCCUUUUGUGUUUUCUUUUCUUCCACAUGAUAACCUUGAUAGAUCAGCUCUGGUGGAUCUCAAGAAGGAAGCCUUAGCCCUUACCAAGCUUCUUCCAAAUGUUAAGGUGGUGAAGAUCAAAAGACAUGCAAACGAGGUGGCUCAUCAGAUAACUAAGUUUAGUUUUGAUAAUAGGUCGGGUGGCCUUCUAUGUAAUAGUUUUCCGCCCUGCGUAGCGAAUGUUGUAAUGAACGAUUGUACUCGAUCUUUUAAUUAAUUAAUACAUGGGUUUUUCAAAAAAAACAUGCCAAAUCCAUAAGUCAUGUGAUGCCAUUGCUUCCAAUGUGAUGAUGGUGGCCUCUUUGGUGUGAUCUUGGUACGUCCCGCUCAAACCUUUAGGGCGGUUCUUCCAUUGCCAAUUACAUGCAAUUUGAACCGAGCAUACCUGAAAACCUCUUGCCUUCCGAAUAGCCAACAACUUUCCUAUAUCCUACACAUUUAGUUCUCUCGUAUACUCUAGUACAAACACAUGCACCACGGUGCGAGCAAACUUGACCGUGGUCUUUAGGCAUAUGCCCUUCCCCAUCCAAACCAUCUUACAAACGGCAUCAGCGGCGGUACCGAAUGGAAGCAUCGUCCGCAACCGUGCAUUUCUGCUUAGUAGAGAAUGAUAGUUGUCUGCAACAAUCCCUGGUGAGCUUGAAGUAGGGAUCAAGUGCCUCCACUCCCUCCCUUUGAUUGAACCCUUAAAGUUGAGAAUGCGCUCCACCUCCCAGUCCAUUUUCUGUUGGAUGCUCAUGAUCAUGAUAUCUCGGCUUUCUCGUCAUUUUGAAUCAUUUCAUCAAGCUAUACCUGUCCAUACUCCUCGUCCGAUGAACCCCCUGAAUCCAUCGUUUUGCAUGGGAGCAGGUGAGAUCUAAUUCAAAAUACAACUUUCAACUCUAGUGAUUACCAGAAUUGAAUACUUAAAUUCUCCCCUUUGAGGUGGUCCCCGAUGCGGAGUCUAGAUAGGAGGAAGAUGGUACAUCCAUAAGGAAUGGUGGUGAGGGAAGAAGUGCAUAACGACGACACAUAAGGGAUGAAGAAAAAAUUAGUGCUUGUGUUGAUGAUUUUGUUAACAAUGAAAUUUUGAAUACUCUAGUUAUCAAGGUUAAUCUUGAAGAUGCCAUUUGUUGGACUCACACUCCUAAUUCAGAAUGUACAAGAAAAAGUGCAUACAUAACUUUUGUGUAGGUGAUCCAAGAUAGGUCUUUGUGAAGACAAGCUCUUACUUCGGAUUAAGAAAGUGUUAUCCUCAAUCAUGCUGCGAAAAACAAAACCAUGGCCCCUAGGGUCAAAACUUUUGCUUGGAGGCUUAUUAGGAGAGUUGUUGCAAUAUGAUUAAGAUCUUCUAUGUAUUCUAAUCAUACCAACAGAAAAUGUUGUAGAUGUAGUUAAAUAGAAUCUGAUAUUAACCUUUUCUUUCAAUGCAAUUUCUCUAGAUCAAUCUGGUUUAAAUUUGACCUCAAAACUGAUAUGCUGAACUCCAAUUCAUAUUUUGUUGAUAUCAUUCAAAUGAUCGUGUCUUCUCAGCAAUAUGAGUUAAAACUAGAUAUUGUUUUCACUGUUCUUUGGAACAUAUGGAGAGCCAAAAAUUAUCUCCAUUUCAAUAAAAGAAAAGGAGUCCUAUGCAAGUUCUCCAUGAUACAUACACAAUACUUACUGCGGGUUUAAUAGAGGAGAAGAGGGAAAGGAAUAUAUCUCAUGAAAAUAACAAUUAUUAUUCUCUCCUAAAUACAACUAUGCAUAUACAAUCUAAUCUACAGGUACUGUAGCAUAUGUGGACGCAACCUUUCGUUGGCUGAGAAUGAAGCCUCCUUCGAAGUAUAUCUCAACAAUACACGCACCAAGCACACCAUAUGCAUUCAUGCAGCGGCAACAAAUGUGCAAUAUGUUUUGCAGGCUGAAGCGAUGGCCUUACUUCCUACCUCGGCAACCAAUGCAUUGGGCUGCAGUUUUGCUUCUUUCUAUUCUAAUUGCAGGACUUUGGUCGACGCUGCGGAAUCAAGGAAUCUUCUUGUUAAAUUAUGACAUUAUUUCUUGUCUCGGGUCCUCCAAGUGCUCCACAGUCCUAGGCCCUAGAAUCACUUUGCUCAGGCUCUAGCUAAGAGAGCCUUCUCAAACAAAUUUACUUUGCUCAUGAGUUCAAAAAUGGCAAUUGAGGUCAUCUCAUUUCCCUUCGAGAAACUACCUUUGGUGUACUACCCUUUGCCAAAAAAAUCUUUUACAAAUGCUAAACAGUUCAAAUGUAAAAGUUGGCAAGGAUUUUUGUGAGUAAAUCUGUUCGAUUGUGAUGCUUAAACAAUUAUAUCAAAAUGAUAUGUAGGAAAGAACAACCAAUCUAUUUUGAAGAUUUUCAGGUUAGAACGCAAAUCUAGUGUAAAUGCAUGUUGUGAUUUUCCUAAUAAAAAUGAAGAUACUGCAUACACACACCUACCAACUAUAAAUGCAUAUUGACCUCAGAAAACAAAAAGCUAUAAAUGCAUACUAUUGGAAAUCAACCAUGCUAUGCUAGGAUAACCACUAAGAGCAAGUAUAAUAAGGUGACGUAAACGGCUAUAAGAAUUUAAAUAUUAUGUUUUUGCUAAGUUGAAAGAGAGAAGAGAAGUGGACUGUAGAUGCACUGCCGGCUUCAGCACGACUCCAAUAAGUUCUCUGAGAGUGAAAGAUUGGUCAUAUGUUAAUAAAUUAGUACUUCCUUAUAGUCAACUACUAUACAUAUUGGCUAUUAGACUACCCACAGUGGGAGUAACAUAGAUAGUAACAUCACACAUAUCUAGGUUAAAUAAAUGAUGUGGCAUUGUAAUAAAUGAAAAAAGAGAUGAAAAUGGUAUAGUUACUACUAGUAUGAGUAACAUUACACAUAUCAAGGCAAGAUGUAUCUACAACCUAAUAAAUGAAAUGUUGCAUGUUACCACACAUAUGUUACUACCCACUAUAGAGGUAGUAACAUAGACUACUCACAUGAGCAUGUUACUGCCCAUUGUGGCUUGUCUUAUAUUAGCUAGCGAAGUGAGCAUAGCUUGGAUGGUUAGGUUUUUUGUGGUACAACCAACCCAUCAAGAUUAAAUCCUAGACAUUGGUGGUCACAUCUUCCUAUAUUUAUUUCACGCCUUCCGAUUGAAGUUGCUCAUAAAGAUAGAGUGUGCAUAUGUACAUUUAUAGAGAAACGUUGGCUAUAAAUGACAUGAUACUCCAAUCGCAGGGUCAUGUUAAGUGCAAUGCUACAUGUAAUAACAGUGACAACCAUAAUUAAUCGUAGGUUCUUCCAAGCAUUUGAUCGAUGGUAGAUACUUCCCCUAGCUAUAGCUAUGGAAAUAGUAUUUCAAGUCGAGGUAUCACAUGUCAAUGAAAAUCGAAACUGCAGUUAAAACCAUGGCCAAAGCCUCAUAACCUGGUGAACAAGACAAUGGAACAUCCCAUAUAAUUAUAAUGUGUGGCUACUACAUACAACAGCAGCCGCAGGCACAUAUUCAGCAACGCUUGAUGUUCACGUUGCCAGCCUAAGAAACAAAACUCUCAACGCCGGAAGGUAACCAAGCAACGCAACUCAUCGGUUGACUGUCGUCGUAUUCUCGGUGCAGUUUUAUUACAAAAAGCAACAAUAACAUCCAUUCGGUGUGGCUUACAGCACCUGCCGUCACUUGAAAAGAAAAAUCACAGAUCGGUCACCCCAAGGGUUAUCAUCAAUCAGGGACCUAG